UCACGCUUCCUUCCUGCCCCUCGCCAGUUUGCCGCCUUUAUUACCUUUGCCUGAAAAAUUAAACAUAUAGAGGGUGAGUAUAAAAAUACCCAGUAAGAGACCCUCUACUGGUCCCGUCAGGGGAAAAUAAAUUGUUAACAUUCUAUUGGGACACCCUGUACAGUCGCAGUCUUGUGAUCCCGUAGGAUGCACAUUUCAGUCUAACGUCUCGAGGGACAUACAUUUCAGUCUAGUGUUCUGCAGAAACACAUAUCAGUCUAAUGCCCCCGAAGGGUGCAGAAUAAUUGGUGAUCCCGUGGGACACCUACAAGGCACACGGUUCAGAAUAAUUGGUGAUCCCAAUAAAAGCUAACAAUUUUUCCCCUCAGUCCAUUCUAAACUUUUAAACAAUCAUUCACGGUUCAGUUAAAUAUUCUCAUUUCAUAAACUCUUCACUUGGUACCUAACAAUCAUCUUAUUGGAAUUUAACUCAAGGCCGGUCAGAAGCACGUCAAUACAUCAGUGAACAAUAAAACAAUCAUAACAUCCACUUUAGUCUACAAGGACACAAACACGACCUUUCCUCAAUUCACAGAAACACAAUCAUAACCAUAUAUCAUAUAUUCAGUCAAACGACAAUCUACCAGUUUCACCCUACAUUUAAUCAAGAAACAUCUAUAACUUUCAGUCAUUCAACAUCCAUAUGUGUAAAAAUACAUAUUCAGUCAGUCACAUCCAGUCAGUCACAGCAUGCACUCAAUACCAAGUCCACAUCAUUCCACACAUAAAUAUAUAUCUGUCUUUCCCAGUUAAACACAAUAUACACUAAAUUCCAAUUUAACCAUACAGUCCAACAUAACUCAAAAUUGUCGGUGAGUCCAGUAGAAAGUCCCUUACCUCAAAGUUAGGGAAGCUCCUUAAUCAAGUAACGUCCACGAAACAUAACAUGCUGUUGCUUUUGUAUGAAAUAUGAUUUAUUUUUCUUCACAUUUUUUCUAAUUUUUUAAUUAUGUCAUUAAACAUAACAUCUUGUAUUUUUGUUCCUUGCAACGAUAAAAACAAUUAUUCAAAUUAAAAUCAUAUAAUUGAAGAAAAAAAAUACUAAGGAUUGAAUGUUUAUUUUUCGCAAAACCAUCACUUUAAUUCUCCAUGAUUUGUUGAAAUGCUUCAACUCUCUAAUCAAACAGUAGUAUUCAAAUGAUAUUUUUUAAAUUAAUACACUUCUAAAUAUAUAAGAUUUUAAAUUAGGAUUUUCAAAAGAAAUGUUGUGAACUUUGUUUUUUGGUUAUUGCAUACAAAAGAAAUUGGAUUGUAGAGUUAAUUGAAAAGUCAACUUUACUUGCACAAUGAAUUUUAAUCAUUAAAUAUCAUUAGAAUCAAUCGAUAUGUUUCAAAAACCGAAAAUUAAAAAUAAUUAGGAAUCGAUAAUGUAUUUCAACCACGUUAUUUAAAUGCAAAUUGAUUUAAAAUUACUCUUAAAUAAAUUUCAUUCCACUAUGAAUUGAAGUAAUUAAUAUUCUAAAUAAUUUAAAAAUACAAUAUUGGUAUCAACUUCUUUUAUAUAUACUAUGUAUAUAUUUUAUAUAUCAAUAUUAUCUCACACAUUAAUCAACUUCCCUCUUUUUUUUGUUUGAUGCAAUUCAACUUUAUAUUAAGUAACAAAACUUUUGCUAAAAAAAAUUUAAAAUUGAAAGUCAUAGAUUGAUAAUAUUCUAAUAGAUUGAUGGGUUGAUAAUAUUCUAAUUUUCUCCAUUUUAAGUCUCUUCCAUUAAAUUCAUUCUGAUUUUUUCUUUUUUUUGCCAUAUUCCAAAUGUUUUUUUAUUGAAAAAAUUGUGAAUUAAAGUCAAAUUCACUACAACAUUGACAUAGAGUUGUAUUCCAAACUUCAUUUUAAUCAAACGUAAUUAAUUUCCAUUUUAAUGGGAGUCAAAGUCAAGAACAAAAUCACUUGUAUCUUUGAUUUCAACUUAUCAUUUUCAAGAUUCAUCCACUCAUUCUCAUGUACAAAUCUCAAAAAAUGGGCAUUUGUUGAGUAAGAAAUUUUUGCUAAUUAAAUUUUGCCACGUUAUCACGUCAAACAUUGUGAUAUUUAUAAUUUGAUUGAAUUUUGGUAAUUAAGUUUUACCAUACCCAACCCAAUUCAAACCUUAGAUAUAAAAAUAAAGCCAAAAAGGAUGAUGAGCUCAAGUCCAAGUCUAGUAGGAAAAUGGACCCAAGUCCAAGUCCAACAAUUAUUAAGCGGAAGCAAAUUUAAAAUAACCCAUAUGGAAAUCACGCUUUCUUCCUGCCCCUCGUCGGUUUGCCGUCUUUAUUACCUUUGCCUGAAAAUUAAACAUAAGGAGGGUGAGUAUAAAAAUACCCAGUAAGAGACCCUGGUCCCGUCAGGGGAAAAUAAAUUGUUAACAUUCUAUUGGGACACCCUGUAGAGUCGCAGUCUUGUGAUCCCGUAGGAUGCACAUUUCAGUCUAACGCCGCCGAGGGACGUACAUUUCAGUCUAGUGUUUUGCAGAAAACACAUAUCAGUCUAAUGCUCCCGAAGGUGCAGAAUAAUUGGUGAUCCCGUGAGACACCUACAAGGCACACAUCCCAAUAAAAGCUAACAAUUUUUCCCCUCGGUCCAUUCUAAACAUCUUAGCAAUCAUUCACAGAUCAGUUAAACAUUCUCAUCACGUAAACUUCUUAUUUAACCUCAAACAGUCGUCUUACUCUAAAUUAGCCCAAGGUCGGUAAAAAGCAUAUCAUUACAUCAAUUAACAAGCUAAACAAUCAUAACCUCCUCCUCAGUCACCAAGGGCACAACCAUGACGUUUCUUCCGUUCACAAGCACACAACAUAACAAUAGAUUAUACAUUCAGUCUAGACAACAAUCAAUCUACUAAUCAAAUCCACACUUUAUAUAAGCAACAUCUACGAGAUUCAGUCGUUUCCACAUCCCUUAUCUUUGUACAACAUACAUAACCAGACAGUCACAACAUAUACUCAACCACAGUCCACAUCAACACCCAUGCACAUAUAUGUAUUAAUUUCUCCCGGUCAAACACAGCAAACAUUAAACUUUAAGUCAAUGUCCAAACAUACAUCAUAAAAAUCAUCUCUACUCAGUUCAAAUAUAAUAAUACGGUCCAUACAGUCAAUACAUCUUAAUUAGUCAUUAUAUCUUAAUUUUGUUAUUGAGUCCAGUAGAAAAUCUCUUACCUCAAAGUUAGGGAAGCUCCUUAACCAACUAUCGUCCACGAAACAAUCCAAAUAAGAGCAACCCGAAAUCAAAAUUCACAAAUUGGUUGUGAAUUUAAGUGAUACAAAGUUAUCUUUCACACCUUCAAGAAUAAUUUAUCAAAUUAGUCAAUUAACCCAUCCGUAACGUUUGAACACCUUGAAAACAUCACAACCCAUACUUAAAUUGUUUUGGAAACGACUACAAUUUCAUAACUUCAAUCUUACCAACAAAACUUCGACGGAUCUCAGUAAAAAUAGGGACAGCGGCAAUCGAUUCUAAACAAAAACCAUCGUGCAGACAGAUUAGAGUGUACGCUGGCUUGUGAAUCGCGGUUAGAAGAAAAACACGCUGCUGGAAGAAGAGAAAACGCGCGGCUGGAAGUAGACGUGCGCGCUGCCUCAAAAUCGAUCGACGAUCUGAUGCGGCGACCGGGCUUCACGAACGGAGAGGAAAGGAAUGGGCGGCGGCUGGGCUUGGCUUCGACGGAGACAGAGGCGAUUGGGACGGGGCACGGCGACGCAGAUCUGGACGACAGCUGCAAGGUGACGUGUACGACUUGCUUCGCGAACAGAGAUGGCGGCCGACGGUUGCAGCGGCGGCUGGGUAUGGUAGAAAAGAAAGAGAAACGGAAGAAGAGAAAUUUUGGGGUGGCCGGCGGUAGAAAACGAAAAGAAAAGAGGGAUGGGUUUUCGUUUUCGGCUUGGUCUGACAGUCGACGUCGAACGAAAGAGGAAGAAAAGAGAAGAAGGAGCGGCGGCGAACGGAAGGGAAGAGAGGGCGUGCGGCUGCUAGGGUAUAGGAAGGAGAAGAAGAAAACGGGAGGAAGAAGGAAGGAAAAAAAUUUCUUUUUCUUUUCUUUUAUUUAAAUUAAAUAAUAAAACUAAAAUAUAAAUAAAUAUAUAUAUAAUUAUAUUAUCACAUUUUCAAAUCUUCUUUCUCCCCCUUCAACAUAUUUUCUUCAAAAAAAAAUAAAUAAAUCUUAUACAAAUCGAAUAAUUUUCUUAAAAUAAAUUACCUUCGAGUUUGGGGCGUAACACACGGUCAUCACAAGGAGCUGAAAUUAUAAUUAUAAAUUUCUAGAUGUUUUCAUUCUUAUCUAUUAAUUUGUAUUUGUUUAAAAAUUAGUCCAUGACAUCUUGAAGUAAACUAUCUUAAAUAGGAGCUUUCAAAUUUUCAAAAAAAUACUUAAAAGAAAAAUAAAAUAUUUUAGGAUCCAUUUUUUUAAUACACGGAUGAUUUUGAUUGAAAUUUAAAUAAAUUUAUUGGUGAUAUUAAUUCUUUCAAUAAAAUAAUGAUACUACUUGGAUAAAGUUUCCAACUACAUCUCAUAUAAUAAUAUAGGCUUAAAUUUCAUAUCUUAAACUACAUUCUUUAUAUAUAUAUAUAUAUAUAUAUUACAUACCAAACCUAAGAUUACAUAAGAUUACAUUCUAUAAUUUAAAAAGUGUGAAUACAAAUAAAGACAAUAUAUAUGCAACUACUACCAUCAAUAAUUAAACUAACUUUUAGUGAACUUGAUCUACAUCUAUGGAGCCAAAUUAUGAAGUAAAUGUGCCAAUAAUUGUGUUCUCUUACACUCUCAAGCUCUUUCAUCAAUCUUUUACAAUAAAAAAUGUUCAAAUUUUAACUUUCAUUUACUACUUUUAAAACGUUUAUUUUAGUUUAUACUUUUUAAAAUUGCUCUUUUCAUCUUUUAAACUGAAAUUAAAAAUAUGAAGAGAUCAAAAUAAGAGAAAUAAAUUCAUUUACACUUAAAAGUAAAGAAAACUCAUAUAUCUUAUUUCAAAAAUAAAAUAAAAGAUAAAUCGAAUCAGAUUGAUCUAGUUGUUUUGUUUAGUUCUUCUCAAAGUAUUGACCAUCUCAUUAAUAUUUUCAUGAAAAUUGAUUUUUUUAUGAUGAUGUUUUUAUUGUAUUAAACAAUUGAUUUUUUUUGUAUGAUGAUGUUUUUAUUGUAUUAAACAAUCAAAAAUUGAUUUGAAUUGUAGUCUAUAUAUGUCUCACCUAGUAUUAGUUGGUUUUGCUAUAUUUGAAAAUGUGAAAGAUAUUAUUUAAUUUAUUUUUAAAUUAUAUUUUUAUAACAAAAUAUCUAAAUAUUACACCUAAAAGAAAAUAUAUAUUACAAAUGUGUAAAAAAUGACAAAAAAAAAAUCUAGAUAAAAACAAAAUCUUUAACUUGAUUACGAUAUGUUCCACUAUAAAUAACCAAUAAUAAUAAUAAAUAAUAAACUAUUGACACUCAUAUUAAUUGUUGAUAUGAACUACUGAUAUUAUCUCAAUCAUAUUUACUAUUGACAUGGAUAUUGAUAUUAAUGUUAAUUUUCGAUAGAGAUACUAUUGGAACUGGAAUUGGAUAAUGUAGUAAAGCAAGUAUUGGAAGCAAAAUUUGGCCAUCUGUAUGUUUGGAUGCCUAGAUCAGGAGACACUUGUUAGUUGUUACUUGGUGUUGUUGCAUUUCGGUGGAGCUAAUCAUCGUAGUAAGAAAAAUAGUAAAACAGAAGCACGUUAACAAAAUGUCUAAGUCAUGAAUCUCGCACUCUUUAAGACGUUUCACAGCUUUGAUCGGUAUGCAAACAAUUUUGAAAUUGCCCCAUCAUCUCCAAGAUAAAACAACAUCAGUUCUUCAUCCAAAGCUAAACCAAAAUCGAACAAAAUACCAACACUCUAAAGGAUACUUUCUCGAAAAACAAAACUAGAACAAAAAUAGAAAGGAAGGGAGAGAACACAAGGUAGAAAGUGAGAAGAGAAACGUUUGUUUUUCGUUUUUAUGUGUUGAAAUGAGAAUGAGGUGUGCCAUAUAUAUAGCGGAGCAAAAUGUAAUGAUUCAACGUGAUAAAUUGUGAACGGUCGAAACAAUUUGGUAACGGUUGAAACAUUUGUAACGUUUUGUAAUGGUAAAACAUUUCAUCAACAAUCCUCCACUUGAAAUUUUUUUAAUAAUAAUUCCCCCACUUGAAAAUUUUUAAAAACAUUUUCUUCAAUCAGUAUACAUCUGUGUACACCACAAGAAAUUUCAGAUCUCGCAACGCAGUAAAUCGUCGGAAUAUAUAUUAAAAUUUAUCAAAAAGGGAUCUUUUGCCGCAUAAAAUGAGCGUUGAGAGCCGACUCGAGAGAAAUGCAUUGAGAGAGGAUUUCUCGAUGUCGUGAAAUGAAGCAUCAAGAUAUCGAAGAACUCCCAGUGUCGUAUGGCGUCGAGAGUUCGCCAUCCUAGGUGUUGGAAAUUAAGACCAAUCUCCCAACGUCUAUGUACGACGUUGCACUACAAGAAAAGUGGUCUACGACGAAAUUCGUGACAAUUAUUUAUAGUUAUAGAAGCGGGAGUCGUGGAAAGUCCUUCCAUGACAGUUUUUGAGAACUGUCGCAAUAAGCUUUUUCAUGACAGUAAAUAAAUGUCGUUAAUUACUAUUUUAUGACAACAAAUAACUGUCAUAUUGUAUAUUAUGACAACAAAUAACUGUCAUCAGUUGCGUAUUAACGACAGUUAAAAAAAAUGUCGAAAAUUCAUUUCUUAUGACAUUUUUUAAAUGUCAAGGAUAGAGCAAUCGUGACAGCUUUUUUAAAAAUAAAUGUCAUUGUUUCGCUAUUAACGACAUUUUUUUUCCUGUCAAAUAUAGGAUAGUCGUGACAGUUUUUUUUAAAAAAUUAAAUGUCAUUAUUUUAGUAUUAACGACAAUUAUGAAGUGUGACGAAUUCAUAUAUUAUGACAAUUAUUUUCUGUUACAAAUCCCUCAAUUACUACCAUAUUUUUAUGUUCUCCUUAUCUCUUCGCCAUUACACGAACCAUUUGAAUGACAAUAAUGUUAUAAUUCAUUCAUCCAUAUAGAAACAAAUGGUCGAUACUUUAAUAUAUAUAUAUAUAUACACAUAUAUAUGCUAUAAUACACUUUGUAAUAUUCGUACAUUUUCAAUCAAGUUUAAACAAUUUACAAAUAUGGAAUUUACAAGGUCUUUAAAGAGGCAUACAUGCAAUAUCCUUUAGCACCAGAAUUAUCACUCAAGUAUUUGGUAAAUUUCCUCAGGCCUCCUCCUUCCUCUAAAAUUGUUGCAAUCCUUCAUUUUAAAAGGUAAGCAUAUGCUUCUGCAUCCUGUAGAACAAAUAUAUCAAAUGUUCAAACAUGAAAAGAAUCCAUAGAAGGAAAAUAAAAACGUACACUAUCGAGAACAAAAUUUGUAUGCGAUACACUAUAUCAAACAAUAAAUUAAUUUCCAAGUCAAGAGGCCCAGUACUCUCCCUUUCACAACCCUGCGAAAGGAGCAACCACGACGACAAUAAAACAAAGUUUACUACUUGUAUCAUUAUUUGAAGCUUUAUACCGUGGAUUGACACUACAAUCAAAAGAACAUACUCAGGAUACAAGAAUUUCAACAUCUGAACUAAAUUCAAACAGUCUCACAUCGAAAGCGUAAAAGCAAAUAUAUAUAUAUGAAAGUUCUCUUCUGUCGUUAAUUAUUAUUUGAAGUUUUAUUUUCUUCUAUUUCCAACCGGGUUCUUGUUUUUCAUGCUAUUCUCCAUUGAAAUGCAAGUUCUUUCUUUCUUUGUGCUCUGAUCAUUUCUCUUCUGUUUGGUCUAAGCUAAGAACAACUACUGGGAUUGUCUUCUUUUCCUUUCUAUUUUGCUUCAUUUUUUUUUUCAAUAUGGUCUUGGCACAAUGCAACAAACUGUAAGUCCAAAAUAGAGAUUUUUAUAAAGUAGCCAGUUCAAUAAAUUUCUAUUUGUAAAUGGUCGGAACCUAAUAAGUAAUUGUAAAAGCUAAUACUUAGAUCCAAUCAUAAAAGCCACAUUAGAAGGAAAGCAUGCGUGCCAUGUGUGUUGCAACCUCAUUAAAUAAUUGUUUUCCAUCAAUAACCAUACAACAACAAAGCAAAAACAUUAUAUGAUCCUAAAUGUUACAUUAAAAAAUAACAAAUUAAGUGUGUUAUAGUUUUUGCAUCAGAAUAUUACGAGUUGAGUACAUUGACAAUAAUUUCCAAAGAAAAUGAAGAUGAGAAAGACAAUUUGAAUGAAUAAAGCAUAAACUACCUUAAUAAGUUCAUCAGAUGCAACAUAUCCUAUUGUUUCUUCAAGACUCAUCUCUGCAUUUAAGUUUAAAAUUAGAUGUUAGUGUGAGUAAUCAUACUUAGGAAAAGAUAAUAAAGCUUUCUAGCCUACUUGUGUCCUGACGUUCUAGAGUUGAAUUCUACAUCUUGGAUACUGGAUUCACAAUAAAACUAAAAUAUAUACAAUUGGAACUCAAUGUAGAAAUAACAUACAAGUCGAGGUGGAGAUAGCUUCACAUUUUCAUCUUUGCAAGCAGAACGGAUAUUGGUAAGUUUUCUUUAGUUCUUACAAGAUUAACCUGGAAAAAAAUAAAAUUGCUUACCAUGUAAAUCAAGUAGAAACAACUUCGAUCCAAAGUUUAAACAUAAAGUUCUCAACUUACAUCUAGAUCUAAUUCCCUAGAAUGUUCUCCAAUAAUCAUUCCAUCAUAAGUCUGCAACAUAAAUUAUCAAGAAAACUAAGCAGAACAUUUUCAAGGACCCAUAUAUUAUCUACAAUGAAAAGAUAGUGGAUCCUCAGUCUACUGGAGACAACAAAAUGUACAUUUAGACCAACUCAUAGCAUAAAAGAUAAUAGGUCUAUGAAUCAAAUGAUUUCAGGGUAUCAUAAAUAGUUCAUAAACAAACGUAUAUAUAAUUGAACAUCCACGCUUCCGGCCUAUGAAAACAGGGAAACAAUUAAUUCACGAGAUGGAACAUUAUGAGCAACUUCUAUCCAAAAGGAGGAAAGAGGGGUGGAAAGUGUACAUUAAAAAACCAUUAUGCACCAUAUAGAUGGAUUGACAUGACUUAGCUACAAACACUUGUGCAAACUGCAAAAUGACAACAACUAGCACAAUAAAAAAUUGUAAAACAAAGAGGGAAGAUAACUUUCAGAUAGAAUCUUCUCUAUGAAAGAAAACUAAGCACCUUUUGAUGUUGGUACUUGUUCCUUUUAAGGUUAUGUUUGUUGUCUAUAUCCAUGGUUUUAGGUAUUUGGUUUGAAAGAACAAGAGGCUUUUCACAAACAAUUUUCUAAAUGGUGAAUUGCCAAUUGCCAAACUAAACUUCAUUACAACAAGUCUAAUAUACUAAGUUAAAAAUAGGCUUCAGUGUGUGUAACAAUCAGAUCAUAGAACACACUCACACAAUGCAAAAGAAAAAGAAGAAGACUUUUAAAGCUUCAGACACAUAUCGUCAAACACCUUACAAGCACAAACUAAUAUCAUAUUUUCUCAUAAUCUCACAAAAAAAUUCUUGUUUAAGUGUCAAGAUAGAAUUGAUUGAUGAUGUUCUUUUUUAGAAAAUUUCAAGAAAUAAAUAAGAGAAUACCUUCAACUUUUCUGCAUUAUUCCAAAAUCCUAUCACACAAGAAAUCUUGUUGUAAUCCCAACAAGGAAAGCUUGUGUUCUUCCUCCAUCCACAAUACAACGAGAUAAAACCUAACGAAAAUCCUAAAUGUAUUAAGUGAAAAUCUCCACCAAUCAUCAGUCAUUUACACAACUACUCCAAAUCAUAUCUUAAAAUCACUAGGUAAGCACCAAUUCAAAGAAAAAUGGAGAAAAUCAAACCUUGCUAGAAUGCAGACGUUUUUGUUAAAUAUUGAAUCCUGAAAAACCAUUCACAGCACACUAAGAAACGUUCAUAGAAACAUAAGAAGUGACAAUCAAGACCAAGGGCAGAGUUGGGUUCAUAAAAAUUUAAUAGUUUUUUUUUUUUUUUAGGAAUUUCAUCAAACACAUAGUGGGUAAAUUCAAAGUUGUUAAGGUCAUAAGAACAUGCCAAUAGCAAAUGCCCUUUUCCCUUGAGGGUAAAACAGAGUCCAUACUGUUUUAGAAGCAAAUCCAACUUACCUUCCUCCAUUUUCUCAUAAUCCCUCUUCGUGUACCUAGGAUAAUAAAGCAGCAUUUGAACACCCACUUUCAAAAUUCAAAAAAUUAAGAAUCCACUUUAACCUCAUUAAAAAAAAAAAAAAAAAAAGGAAAAAGUUGAAGAAGAGGACAAAGAGAGCUACGUAAAGCAUUUUUUUUCUUCUUCUGACUUGGGUAUGAAGAAGAGGGGUAGUUGAAAUGCAUGUAUAAAGACAUUGGAUUGUUGGAAUGUUUAUGAAAGGGAAUUACACAAUAUUCACAGAGAGAGACAAAGAGAGAAGGAAUAGAAACUUACCGGCAGAGGAGGUGAUGACAAGCACAAAUGGCAGAAGAGGUGAUGAGGCCCAAAUAUGGUCGAAUUGGAGAUAGAAGAUCAGAUUGGAGAUGGAGACUUCGCAGGAGAAUUGAGGAAAAUAAUAAGGGUUUACGAUUUGGGGAAAUAUUUUCUAAAUUUCUAAUCUUUAUUUAUUAUUUUUUUAAUAAAAAUAAAAUAUUAUUUUAUGUUUUUUCUAUGAUAUUAGAUAACUGUCGUGAAAUGUAUUAUCCGAAAAAUUUCGUCUUUUUCCGCCAAAAACGCGAAAUUUUACAUUUUGUGUCAGUUUUUUUUUCCCUCUCCCAUUUUGUGAUAUACACAACUGUCAUAGUAGACAGCUUUUCUUGUAGUGUUGAGAGAUCUUUUUAUAACUUUUGACGUUGUGUCUAAGGCGUCGGGAGUUAGGUUAUUUUUUUAAAAAAAUAUAUGUUUAUUUUAUUUUAAUUUUAGGUUUUUGUAACCUAAAAUUAAAAGAAAAUAAAGGCAUUUUGGACGUUGGGGAAAUGUAUAAAAUGUAUACGUCGAGUGAGUGCUCGACUGCAUCUUAACAACACAAAAUGGUAAUAGCAUGAAUGUAGAUAUAGAGAACAAUGGAACUUCUUAUCAUGAAACAAAACAUAGUCAACCAAAAUAAGGACAAUUAACUUGAAAGUUUCAAAGUUACAGAGCAUAUCAAUAUAAUUGAAAGAGUAAAAUAGGACACCACUUUUGAAGUGUAGAAAUAAGGAAGACCAAAAUCACAAGAAAGAAUCUAAUGAAUUGGAACCAAGAAAUACCAUUCCAUCGGAGUUCAAUAGCAACAGGGUAAACUUGUGACCGAAGUUGUAGUCUUUGGUUAAGUCUGCAUGGUCACCAUCAAAGUGAAAAUAAGCUUUUGGAAUUUAUAACUAUGCCAAGGUAGAGCAUCACAUACACAUCCAUGAUUCACAUCAAAUAAAAUUAUAGCAUAUAAUUAUGGUAUUUUAAUAUUAUACAUACAUACACACAUACUAAAAUUGGUAUAGCAUCUCAUAUGCACAGAAAAAAUAGAUAACAUGUGUACAUUUGACAUUUUUGCCAAUAUCCUUAAACAUACUUAGAAGGAAACAAUUAUGUAUGGUUUUGUACCUUACUUAGGUCAAGCAUAGAUUUUAGGGGAGAAAUGAGGAACAAAUCUUACAUCAAUCAAAAUUGAUAUAGCAAAACAAACAUUAAAAGAAAAUAAAAAGGAAACCAAAAGUCCAAAUUUCCUCCAAGUAUGGACCUCUUACAAAAAAAAAAAAAAAAAAAAAACCCUAUAUAAUUGGAAUAAAAGUCAUGUACUAGCUAGCAAAUGGCUCGAUAUAUAUAUCACAUGAAUCAAAUUUAUUAUAAGUGUGUAGAAUAGCAACAUAAGAAAGCAACAAGUUGAGGACUAGAAGAAAGAUUCAUACAACAAGCUGAGGUCUCACAUCAUUUUUAGACAAAAAAAAUUUGAUAAGCUCUCAAAGCCUACUUCAGCUAGGGCCUAAAAUUUUUUCAACAAGAAGUUUCUUAAGAUAACAUCUUUUCGGAAGCAUACAUUACAGACCCAACAUACCACAACAUACAAGUAGGUGGAAAAUAUUUUCAUUCAAACAAUGUACAUCAUAAAGUAACAUUUGAAUCUCGAUUGAUUAAUCUAUUUUUAGGUGGCUUUUCCUACUUUGAUUUAUAAGUUAACAAGGAAAUUCUCCACCAUGUUUUCUUCUCGAGAAGAUAGUGAGUAUAGCAUCUUUGAACCUCUACGAGAAAGUAACCAAUCUAAGAAGCAUCCUACGAUCAUUAGUCCAAAGUCUGCAUUACAAAGUAUUAAAUAGAUAAAAUUUAUUUUUGAAACCUAUGAAUCCAUUUCAUUUCACACAUAAAGGAAACUAAAAUCUCCAUUUGGAUAGUCAUCGGUCCAAACCCAAUAUACUACAAUGAAGAAACCAUAAAACUAGUAAUAGUAGUUUCUAAGCAACCUAUUAUAUUCUCAAACAUUGACAGGAAACACUUACGUACCCUUAAAGAACAAGGGCAAGAAACACUUAUGGAUUGUCAAUAUACAUUUUAAUGGGAUGAAAUUAAAGAAGCAAAGAGAAAGAAGAAAAAGGCCUAAAUAAUUGAAAGAAAUUGAAGGAAUACCCUAAGUUUGACAACCCUCCCAAGCACACAUAAAAUCAAUUAAAGUUCCAAAUAUAUUACAUACAUAAAGAGAUAGUGGUGGCGGCAGCAACGACGACACCGAAAACCCUUCUCCUUCCACUCUUCAAAAGUCUAAAAAACAAAGCCCUUCCUCAUGAGCCCUUCUUCUUAGAAGGUCCUUUAAAUGCCAACACAUAUAUUAAUGCAUCGGCAGAUCUCUACCAAUUCACGACACCAUUACUAAUGCCGUCAACAAUUAUCUUAUAUCUCCUAACGUGGAGUAAAAUCGUCAGGGGUGUCCUACAUCUCUUGACGUUGUGCAUGGCUGGCGUCGGGAGUCAGUUACUAAUUGUCAACGCUUGUUGUAUUUGUCCGGAGAGAUUAUAUCUCCUAAUGCUUCAAUUGGUGUGUUGAAAGAAGCCUAUUCUCUCGAUGGUGUGAAUCUACAUUAGGAGAGUCAUACUUUCUUGUAGUGGUAAUAUUGUGCUUAAGCAAAUAUGUUUUACAACUUGAACAUUUAUGUAGUGACAAUAAUUUAGAAUAUUGUAAAGUAACCAUUGGUUUUAAAUUAUACCUCUAAUAACAUUGCAUACACAUUAUUAAUUGAGUGAAGUUCUAAAUGGUCGUACCUUAAGGCCUUACAUGUAUAUCCCGAUUUAGUGGAUGCUAUGGAGAAUUAUCCUAGAAUUCCAUAGAAAGCGGCUCUCACUUCCACAUCCACAAAGGUGACUCAGUCACCCUCUUGUGUUUUUCGAUUCGUUUGAUCUUUGUUGGAGUCGCGUUAUUGCUCCUCCGAUAGCCAUUUACGCCAUUAUUGUUGUGCGUUUUGAGUUUUCAUUCCUUCAGUUAGUCGUUAAAAUUUCUCUCUUGUAGACUUGGGUAAAGUUCUAAGCAUUAUGAAGUGGGUUUUGAGUACCUAUCUAAGUUUGAUGUUAAUAUUGAAUAAACCAUGAUUUGUGGAUGUUAGGACCAAAUUUAGAAAACUGCUAAACGCUUUUCUUUAAAGCUAAGGUUGUAUAUUGAUAUGCCUUAGGUAAGAUUUUGGAUACUUAUAACGAGUGUUCUUGAAAUUUUGAAUACCCAUUGAGUUUCGACUUGAUUUUCACAAUACCCAUUACAUUUUGAUGCUACAUUCGAAUUUUAAAUGAGUUUGGGCCGUUGUGCAGCCAUAUGGAAGCUUGAAAUUAGGCGUUUUGACACCACUUAGGUAAGUUUCUAAGCUUUUUAGAGCAGACUGUUGAGUACUCAUUUAACUUUAAUGAUAAUAUUGAGUAACCGCUAAUCUUGUUGAAAUUAAGGGGACUUGUUAUGUUCUUGGUAAGGUUUGGAAUAGUUUUAUUGAAGUUUCUUAUAGUUCUUGAAUACCCAUUAAGUUUAAUCAUUAAAAUAAAAUUACCUAUGAUACUCGGGUCCUAGAGUUGAAAGGUUGAAAUCGACUUUCCAUUAACUUUGGAGUUCGCUUGGGUGUUUUGGAACAAAAUGGUGAGAAUCUUGUUUUUUUUUUUUUUUUUUGGAUGCCUAUUGAAUACCAAAUAUAAGUGGUUAGUGCAAGAAUUAAUUUACUCACGAUUUGAAUGCUAGAUUUGAGUUAGAAAAGUCGUUAUUGUGCUGUGUAGGCGAGUCAUGACGAUUUCGACAAGUUUGCAAUAAGUUUUGGGUACUUUAGUGCAUUUUCUUUAUGUUCUUAGAAAUACCUAAUUGGUGUAUGCGUAGGUUUGUUGAUGCCCAUAAUGUUUUGGAUUAAAAAUAGGAGAGUUUGAGGAUUUUCAAGGAAUUCCCAAUAGGUUGGCUUGAGAUUGUUAAUUGAUCUAAAUCUUCAAGGUAUGGAUAUUGGGUACGAGAACUUGUUGAAAUGAAAGACUCAAUCAGUUUGAUUUAAGUUUGGACAUCCAUUUUUCUAAAAAUUUAAAUUUGAGGUUUAAAAAUUUUGAAAGUGGACUUUUAGUUUAGUCUAAGGAGUUUUGAAAAUGCAAGAACUCUAGGAAUGUAAAAUAGCUUGAAGGCUCAUAAUGAAGUGUUUUUAAAGAUUAUUGUGCCGUCUUGCUAAGUGAAGAUCCGAGAGACCUUAAUCUUUGUUUCAAGCUAAAUCAAAAUGGAGAAGCGUAUAAUCUUGGGGGAUCAAAUCAUUGACUGUGAGUGACUCAUUUUCAAGCUUUGUUUGUACUUGUGCUAUUUAUUAUAUAUAGCUUGAAAACUACUGUGAUUGAAACUUGUUAUGACUACGUUUCCAUUUAUACUUAAAUGACGUGUGUACUCAUGAUGAUUUUAAGAAUGUGUAUGUUUAAAAUUUUUACAAAAAUGUUAUUAUAAAAGUAUGUGUCGAUGACUAAGGACUGAAAUUACUUUAUGAAAAUGUGUUUUUAGGCCAUGUUUGGCUUUCAAGCAUGAAAUAUGUGAUUCUAUGAAUGAUGAUGAUUUACCCAUAAGCUAUGCAAAUGUGUUUCUAUAGCGUCACCUAUAGUUGUUCAAGGUUCUGGAGCUGAAAGAGGUCGUGAUCGAAGAUCCAAGAACUUGAACCUAGGUGAGGAUAUGGGUGAAGGAUUGUGACAUGACCUGAAAUACUACUUGUGAACUAGGCUAACAUACCAAAAUUUUCUAAAAUAAAAGAAAGAAUGUGCAAUUGGACCCAAACCUUAAAAUCAAACCAACAACAAACUAAGGAGGCUCAAUUUAUAAAUUAUUUAGGUCGUAUUUAGUAAUCAUUAAAUUUUUGUUUUUAUUUUUUAAAAUUAAGUUUAUAGAUACUACCAAUUGUUCAUUGAUUUGCUAUCUAUUUUUACCAUCAUAGUUUAUAAAACCAAACAAUACUUUGAAAAAAAAAACUAGCUUUUAAAAUUUUGUUUACAUUUCUAAAAUUGAGCUUAAAAAAUGAUUCAUUAGUUAAGGAAAAUACAAAUUAUUAUAAGAAAUGAGGAGAAAAUAAAGUUGAUAUUUAAAAAGUUCAAAUUAUUAGAGUAAUUUGAUAAAGCCAAAUCGUCUAUCUAAGUAUUUAUAAAGUAAUAUGGAAAAAAUAAAAUAAAAAGGAAAAAGAAAAAAAUUGCAUUCCCCACACCCAAAGGUUGGGUGUCAAAUAAUUAAACAUUUUUAAUUACAAUAAAGGCCAUAGAAAAUAAAAAGAAAAAAAGGUUAAAAAAGUCUCCCACUGAUCCUUCUCUGUCUAUGAACAACCAAAGUAUCCGUUACACCCACCAUUCAAUUCCCUUUUUCCCCAACUUUAAUUUAAUAAUCCUACAAAUCAAACCUAUCCCAAUUCUUCAAUUCCUCCCAACGGAUUCAAAGAUUCCCUUCUUUUUCUUCACUCCUCCGCUCCCCCCCUCCCUUCUCCCUCUCUCUCUCUCUCUCUCUUCCAUGGAUCCUCCUGUAACAGAAGCUGCCACGCCAUUGUUGCACUCCACAAGCUCUGAAAGCAGCAGUGACGCUGACGACCACACUCCCCCGACUUCCUACCGAUUCCACUUCAAAGGCAUCAAAUUCCCUUGUGAUUUUCUCAACAAAUCCCCAUCUGGGUAUUCUUCAUAUCGCCCACUGGCUGUUCUCCCCGGCCACAUUGGCUCUGUUUCUUCUUUGGCUCUAUGUGGUGAGUUCAUUUUAAGCGCCUCGCAAGGGAAAGACAUAAUCGUAUGGCAGCAGCCGGACUUAAGGGUUUUCACUAGAUUCGGCCAUGGUGAAGGAUCGGUUAAGGCGGUGGUCGCCGUCGGGAACAGAGUCUUCACAGCUCAUCAGGACGGGAAAAUCAGAGUUUGGAAGGUUUCACGCAGGUCGGAGAACAAUUUCCGUCUCGUGAAUACUCUACCAACGGCGAAAGACUAUUUGGGUAAGUUUAUGAAACAAAGCAAUUAUGUUCAAACAAGAAGGCACCAUAAAAUCCUGUGGAUUGAACAUGCGGAUACAAUUUCUUGUUUAGCUGUUCAUAAUGGUCUGAUUUACUCUGGCUCUUGGGACAAAACCCUAAAAGUUUGGAGGGUUUCUGAUUUGAAAUGUUUAGAAUCCAUUAAAGCUCACGAUGAUGCCAUUAAUGGGGUUGUAGCUUGUAAUGGGAUUGUAUAUUCAGCUUCUGCAGAUGGGAAAAUCAAAGCAUGGGGAAGAAGAAAAAAAGAAGAAGAACAAGUAGAAGAAGAAAUGCAUAGUUUGUUAGGGAUUUUAGAGGGUCAUAAGGAUGUAUCAAUAAAUUCUGUGGUAGUUUCAAAUGAUGGGAAAUGGGUAUUUGGGGGAAUUUCAGAUGGGUUUUUAAUGGGAUGGGAAAAGAUUGGAGAAACAAUGAGUUGGAAAGUUGUUUGUGAGAAAAAAGCUCAUAAAAUGGCUGUCUUAUGUGUAUGUUUGACGGGGGAGUUUUUGUGCAGUGGAUCAGCUGAUAAGAGUAUUGGGAUUUGGAGAAGAGAAGCAUUUGGGAGACUGUGUAAAAUUGGGGUGAUAAAUGGACAUGAAGGACCAAUCAAAUGCUUACAAGCAGCUCCAAAUGGUGUGGGUGAGGGAUUCUUGUUGUAUAGUGGUAGCCUUGAUAAAAGCUUGAGAGUUUGGUGGGUUUCUAAAGCUUCUGCUUCAUCAUCUUCAUCAUCUUCAUCUUCUUCUUCUUCUUCAGCCAUGGGAGUUGGUGCUUUCGUUGCAGAGGAUUCGAAGAAGUCUAUCAUUUCCUUCUGAGUCAAGUUUUUGAAGUUGAAGCAUUGGUUGGGUUCUUUUAUUCAAGCCUUCAUUGCUUCAUAUUCCUUUUUCAUUUUUUUUCUCAGUAGAUGUGAAGAAGAAAUGGCAAGAUUAGGGUAAAGCAUAAUUGGGUUUUUUUGGCUUUUCUUUUAUUUAAUUCAUUUUUGGGUCAAAGCAACAUAAAUUUUUGAGUCAUUUGUAACAAAUUUUUUUGUGAAGAUACAAGUGUGGGAAAUCAUGGAAAUGUGUGAAGUCUUUGUAAUGUAUACCAAUUUAUUUGAAUGUAUAUUCUCUUUUACACUAUUUUGUUACAAGUUGUAAUAGUUGAGAAAAGGGAUUUCAAUAAACGAAACAGUCUGUUGUUGGUGUUGUAAAUAUUAUAUUUGAAUAGUUUUGUUUUCCUUUGACUUAGAAUUGAUUUUUAGUUUUGUAAUUGUUAAAUGUUAAUGAUUAGAUUAGAUUAAGUUGAUAUAAGAAGGAACAUGUCAGGUUUACUUGAAGAGGAGACAUGGUUACCCCACCAAAUAUAAGGAAAGAAUAAGAGAUGGUUCAACUUCAAUAAGUUUCUAAGUUCUUUACCAACUAAACAACAAAAAUAUAUUUAACUAAUAAGUUCUUUUAAGAAACCCUUCCUCCUCUCCACCCUCAUUUAGUUUAAAUAAUACUUGAAUAAAAGUAAGGUUGAAAUACUAUUUGGUUUCUAAACUUAUUUCUACUUUUCAUCUUAAAUUUUAUAUUUUUUAAUCGGUAAGAAAUUUGUUACCAAUAGCAAAAUAAAUAAGAAAAAUUAGAUGAGUAAUAAUACACCAUUUUAAAACUAUUUUAAUGUAUAGUAUUUAAAAGUACCAUUUAAUUUAAUUGAAACUAAACUCAAAAUUUAACGACAACAGUGUUACAUUUUGAAAUCGAAACCAUACUUAAAAUUUAUAUGCCAAAAUGUAUAUUCUUUUUCAUUUUCUUAUAUGAACUUUAACCCUUCAAAUAAUUAAGAGAAGAUAAGAUAUCAAUUCAUUCUAACAUAUUUAUACAAUGUAUCAUAUAUUUUUUUACUCAAUUAAUUAUGUUAACUUUGAGAUUUUUAUCCGUUAAAACUAGAAACUAACAAUUAUAUAAAGGUUGAACUUUUAUGAGUGUUAUCAAUUUACACUGUCUUUAAAUUUCAUUUAAAAAAAUUGAAUUGUUCUAAGUAAAUCACUAUAGACUGUUUAUUAAGAUUUAUUUUUGAAAAUCAUCCGUUUAUUAAUUCUUACACAAGAAUGUGGGUAAAUUUCUUCCAAUUUUCUUAGAUGAAUAAGAUAGACAUAGUUUAUCUCUCAGUUUAAAGUAAUUUUUUUAUGUUAAUUUUUGUGUUUAUCUUGUAUUAUUGUUUUCUUUCAAUUUGGGUGCAACCAUAAUUUUAGUUAAUUUUACAAAUCAAAUUAAAAGGUUUUGAAACUAAGGAUAAGGUUGAAAUUAUGGUCACACACAGUAACCCAAUUAUUGAAAUUAAGUCAAAGUAAUGGAUAACCAAAUUGAUAAUUUAAUCAUUUUCUUUAGUAUUCUUAAAGUUAUUAAUAAUUUGAUGGAGGAAUAUUAAUUUUGGUAGGUAAUAAAGAGAAUACAAAAGGUGCAUGUUAAUUAGCUAGAGCAAUCAAUAUAUGUAUGUUUCUAGGAAUCUUUCCUUACAUGUGACACUAUGCAUCUUAUAAAUAUCUUUCAAUUUUUUUAUUGUAUUUGGUUGAGGUUUUCUACUAAUCAAAUGUAUUUUAAACAUUUUUAUAGAUACCAAUUUGACUUUCCUUAAAAAAAAAAAAAAAGUGUCCAAAUUUUAUGAAUACUUUGAUAUUUUAAUAUUACAUCAUUUUUUUGGUUACAUAGUAUAUAGUAUAAUUAUGGUACACAUUAUUCUAUCUUGGAUUCAAUUUAUUGUUUAGAGCAAAUUUGGUACUUCUUACAAUUGUCUUUUUAUAAUUUAAUAUCAUUUAAAAAGCAUAGUAGGUAGUAAGAUAUUUUAGCUAAAUUAUGUAUUACGUCUAAAACCUACCCAUCAUGUGAUGCAUAUAUAUGUUUAAAAAUCAACAUCCAAUAUGCAAAGUAAAACUUAAACCAAUUUGUGGAUGAAAAUAAUAGUAUAGCAAAGGAAAUCAAAGAUAAAUAAUUAAAGAGAGCGUUCCAAGUAAUUAUAAAAUUAAGCAGGAUGGAAAAUAUUGUAAAAAUGCGAGAGGAUUAAAUUAAAAUAGCAAAAAUGAAACAAAGUUUGUUGCAAUAUAUACUUGCAUACAUUUUAUAACAUUCUAUAUACUAUAGUAGAUCUAAAUUUGUACUAUGGAAGAAAAAAAAAGUACAAAUAUCUUUAUGAAGAAAAAAAGAGCUUUGAAUGGUGUUGGUUGAGCCAUAGAGUACACUUUGAGAUUCAAAUUAGUCUCAGGUUUGUUGGCAACUUAAUUGCAGAAAAUAGUAGACAAUUUUAUAUAUGGACAUAUCUUCAACUAUUGGUUUUUGUAGUUAUGUUUAGGCUCGUAAUUGUUGGUUUUCAAUUUUUUGAAACCUCUAAGUUAAUACUUGUUGAACGGUUAUACACUAUCACCACUUGAUGUUGUAAUUGAUUGAUGCUUAAUUAAGUGCAUGCAUCAAUCUUACUCAAUUCUUAACACAUUUCUACAAGAUCUUGUGUGAGUUUUGCAAUGGAAUCUCCAAGGUUCCCUAUAUGACUUCUAAGUCCUCCAAUACUCAUCCUACAAAUGUCGCUUACAUGAGUCCUUCAACGUUCUUCAUAGAUAUACUAUAUUGAACUCCUCUCUUUUCUAUAAGCAAGCUAUAUAUAUAGUUCUUCAUGGGUUCUUUGAACAUCCUCUAAGCUUUUAAACGCGGAUUCUUAGCUCAUUCUAGGCACUCCAAAAACUUUUAGAACUCACUCCAAGUUCACAUUUAAGUUCACUUUAAACUCUCUCAUCAUGGAUUGAUAAAGAUUAUUAAUUGGUCGUAUGAACUUAACGCCAAUCUACCUGUAACAAUAAUAAAAGAAAAGAAAAUGAAGUUUUAAAAUAAGGGUGGUUUUGAAUAUAUAAUUUUGAUGAGAGUUGAAGUGGUGGGGAUAAUACGGUCAAGAAAGGGCGAACACAAGAGUGGGGGAGCCUUCAAUUUGAAAUACAAUAACUAACCACCGAAAGCCAAAUUGGAAAGUCCUUUUUUUCUAAAAUGAAAAGAAAAAGAAAAUAAAGGAAAAGUAGUAUUUGUAAUAAAUAAUAUUUUGAUGGAACAAACUUUGAUUAGAGUCUUGAUGUUUAAGGAUAUGAUAUAUUGGACCAUUGUUUUUUAACCCAUAGUGCUCCUUCGCCAAACAAAUUGCCUUUGAGGACUUUAGACUUUUCAAACCCUCUUCUCUCUCAUACUUACCCUAAACUUUUGAAUAUAUUUAAUUCAUUCAUUUUGGUUCUUUUUUCUUCUUCUUCUUCUUCUGCUAAUUGAUUGUUUAAUGUAUAUAGAACAUAUAUAUAUAUAUGGAAAUUUUUAAUAUCUCUAUUAGGAUGAGUUAAUAUAUAGAUUUGUAUGGGAGCCAAACAUAUAUAUGCAUAUAGGUUAUGGUGGAAAAUAGUAUAAUACAAUUGGGUUAAUUAUUCAUUUGGUUUCCUCUAUCUUUUUUAAUUAACUUGUGUUUGAGAAGUUCUCAUAUUUUGAGUUUUACACCGAUUGAUGUGAACACAUUUUGAAUCUAAAAAGUUAAAAAAUAGAGCAAGGGAUUUGGAAAGAAACAUUACAACACGUUGCAAAACCAACUAGAUUACUGAAAAAUUAGAAAAGUUGAGACCCUAGACUUUGAAAAUAUCUAAUUAAUUUAACAUGUCACAUGGUGCUAAUUGAUUUUUUUGCACCAAGGAAUACUGGGUGCACGUGUUGUUUCGCAUGCUAGAAAAAUUCACAAUUUAUAAAGAUAAUUUCUUUCAACCAUCGUAGUUUGAUCUAUUGAUAAAUAAAGGACAUAGGUUUGAUAAAAAAAAAAGACUACGAAAAGGAAAGAGAUCAUCUAAUAGAAGUUAAUAUUCUACAAGUUCUUUUGAACAUUCAAAUAAUGUAGGAUCAAACAUGAUGCUAUCAUCAGAUUAGUUUGAUGUAAGUAAACUAGUUAGUUCUAAAUAUAAUAUAUAUAUAUAUAGAAAGAGGUAUUAACACUUUCAAUUUUUAAAAAGUACUCAAUACAAUGGACAAGUACACACCUUCGAUUUUGUAGAUAUAUUCAACUUUCUAGAUAUAAUAGAUAUUUGAGCUUUAAAUAAAAUAUAAUUUAUAAAUCACCAAAUUCAUUAAAAAAGUAAAAUAUUUAUACUACCACAUGCAAAUUUCUAGGUUUGAUGAUAUUUAGAAGGCAUUUUGAAAAAUAAGAACGUAAACACACAGCAUCCAAAAGUUUAAGACAAAUGAUAAUUAUUAGGCAUAUGUUUUAAAAUUUAAAGCUUACUAGACACACAUCAUCUUUAAACAUUUUAGGAGUGAAUAUUAACCUACUAAGUAUAAAAAAAAAACUAUUACUUUUAGAAACUAAAAUGAAUCUUUUUCCAAGUUCAAGAAAUUGAAUUGACAAUGAAAGAUUAAAAUGGAACAAAAGGUUAGAAUUCAUAGGAGGAAAAUGAGGUUUUAGCUAGUCUAUAUAUAUAUAAUAAAAGAAAUAAAAUAACUUUAGGAAACCUUGGAGCUAAGUUAAUUAAAAAAAAGUUGAAGCUAACUUUGAAUGCUUCUAUCAACUUUUGUAUCUUUUUCCCUUUUCCCUUUUAACAAAGAAAGUUGAACCAUUCUUUGUGGGGAUGGAUGAAGAUUCCACUAUGAUCCCCUUAUCAUUUAACAUCUCUACGGUAAUUUAUUUUAGUCAUUGAUUUGGUCCACCAAAUAGUUGGAUGACUUCAGAAAAACUCAAUUGUAAGAUUUGGGUUGGGUUACAAUUCAUUUGAGUUGGAAUACGAACUAAUUUUUAAUUUUACAAAAUAUAUUUUUUAUGCAUACUAGUUACUAUUAUAUGCACAUAUAUUUAUCUAAUUUAAUUUUAUGAUUUUUUAAAUAAUUUAUUCUUCAACUACUAUAAACAAUUUAACUCAUUUGUGUGUGUGCGCGCGCCAACUACUAUAAAUAAUUUAACUCGUGUGUGUGUGAAAUAGAUAAAAAGUUUACAUCUUGAAAUUUUGCUUAAUUUUAGAAAAAAAUUCAAGUAAUCCGACUAACUCAAAUGUUUCAUGGUUAGAUUGAGUUGAGUUGGAUUAUUAUUCAAGGAGUUUGUAUACUAAUAACCUAAUUUAAUAUCUUAUAAGAUGUUGAAAAACAACAAAAUAGAGUAUGAGUUAGAAAAUGAGGUUUCACACCAACUCAAAUGAAGGGAACAAUGAAACUUACCAAGCUCGUCCUAGCUCAAAUGAAACACAUAGGGUCGAAAUUCAUGGAAAAACUUUCCAAGUCAAACCAAUUUAGAGACAAUCAUUAUGCUUCAAGGCUAAAUGACAAGCUAGAGCUAAAAGACUUCAUGAUUGAUUAAAUACUUGUUUACAAACUAUUUUCAGUCUUUAACGACGAGCUACAACAAUUGAAACUUCGAGAAUUCGAAUGAAACGUGUAAAAUAUAAAUAUAACGAAAAUCAAAUAAGAAAUAUAUUUAAAUAACAAAAUGGUUAGGAUGAGAGAAUAAAUACCAUAUAUAUAUAUAUAUAAAAUCAAAUAAUAUAAUAAUGCACAUUAACUAAUAACCAUAAUAGCAAUUACAAUAUAUAUUAUAUUAUUAACAUAUAUUUUUAAAUAUAGCAGUGAAAUUGAAAUUAUCUACAAACUAGAGAAAAAUCAUCAAAAUUAUUCUUUUUCUUAUUUUACUUUAGCAAAUUUGACAAAAAAAAAAAAAAAAAAAAAACAAACAAAGAGAAAUAUGCAAGAAACUUGUUAACCCAAUUGGAUGUAACACGUCUAUAUUUAUGUUCAAUUGAGAAGAAAUGUUCACCAGAGUUUAAAAGAAUUACAUGUAUAUAACUUAUCUUUUCGACACAAUAUCCAUAAUUACAACAAAAUCACGUCACUUUACUUAGCUUCCUCUAAGUAUAUUAUUGAUACUUGGUUUAAUGUCCUUACAAAGUCAGACUCCCUCUGAAUCAUUAAUCUCUAGCAAUAUUAUUGAUAAAAUUCUAAGUAUUUGAAAAUGUAGUAUAAUAUAACAAAAUUUAGAUCUAACUCCUAGAUAAUAAAAGCAUAUCACUUAUAGAUUUUGAAAUACUUUAAUUUUUUUUUAAAAAACGUUGGUCUACACUUAUUUAUUACCCUUGGGUGCUAUCAAAUAAACACUAGUAAAUAUUUUGUACAUACGUCGUAAAAGAAAAAAGAACAUCAUGCUAUAAGGUCAAGACACACAUAAAAUACCAUAUAGAAUAACAAAAAACAAUAAAGAUGCAUAAAUAACUCAAGAGAAAAAGGUCCCAACGAGAAUUUGUCACUUGAAUCCCUAUCAGAGAAGCCCCAACCGUUUAGAAUGACAAAUAAAAAUAAUUAAUCUCUUGGAUAGGACACAAAGUAGUACGAUGAACACGCAUAUUACCCUUACACCUAACAUGAUAAAAGUGUACCAAGUAACUCUCCAAAUGCUAACUACGAGUCUAAAGGGAGAAAUAGAAUCAAGUUGGAUAGCGAAAGGAAGCACAAAUUGCGUAGAUAGUAAGGAUUGGGAAGCACUAGCAACCGAAACAACCAAGGAGCCAAGUAAUAGCAUCGUAGUUUGCUUACAUUAAUUUUGAAAAAUACAUAAACUUCACAUUUGUUUCAAAUGGGUAAUUGUGAAGAGGUCCAUUGAAUUGGAGUUGGGCCAUCCAUUAUCAUCACACCCAUUUACAUAACAACAACUUCAAGCCUUCAACAAUGUCCAUUCCAAUUCCAUACACUUCCAAUAGGCAAUAGCCAUGGCCAGGUUCCUUAUCUCCACCCGACCCUUUCCCUUUUCCACUCUCCCCCUUGCUCCCCCACGGCCAUUCUUCAGACCCUCCAUUUUUUCCCCGCCGGUCAGAUUCUUCGCCAACCCAUCGCCCUCCAGGACCUUACGAGUCGUGACGACUCGUGCCGGCGCCAGCACCAGCAGUUACAUCUUCGCCUUCUCCAUCCCUUUAUCUCUUAUUCUCAUCACUGUCCUCACUGCCCUUAAAAUCGGCGAUAACCUUGACAAGAAGUUUCUUGAGGAGGUAACCUCUAUUAUUCAUUUCUAAUUUCGCUUCAUUUUGUUUGCGGAACUGAAUUUGAUGAGAUUCUGGUGGUUUGCCGUUCAAGUUUGGUUUAGAUAAGUUUACUUGAGCUUUGAAAUGAGACUUCUAUUGUACUGAGGUUUGUGUUUGAUUUAAUUAAGGCUUACUGUCAACUGUUGAGGAAUAUCACAUUUGCUUAUGUUUUACUGUUACAAUAUGUAUGGUUGUUUUGUUUUAUGAUUUUAGUCUUUGAAGACAUGGCUUGGCUUCUUCACAUGGCAGCACCUAAACUAGGAUUAUGCAGUGUUUUAUGGGUUUAUUGAGGUCAAAUAUUACAGGGUUGAGACAUUGUUACCAAGAUGCAUUCGAGCUAGCUCUGCAAGAACUGGUUUUACUUACUUAUCCAUGGGGGUGAUUGCUUCAAUUUGUUAAGCACACUUUCAAGUUCAAUGGGAUCAGAAAAAGGAGAGACACCCCCACGGUCCCACCCACGCUAAAGCUGCCCCCUUUGUUCAUCAAUGCUCAAAAGCUUAUUUUUGUAGAUUCAUGGCCAUUUGAUUAGAUGAUCCCCAAUUGAAUUGGAUAAUCUAGUACCAGUAAGCUCGAGAGAGGGCCUCAUAUGUCCUCAUUUCUCGCCAAUUACCACUACCACUGAGCUUGAGAGAGAGUACCUUAAGGCCAGUUCUGAGAUGUUAAAUGACUAGACCAUGGUUUAAUAACCAUUUAGUUUAUGAGAACUAUGCUCUUUUUUUUUGUCACAACUUGUUUUUAUAUUUCCUAGAGAAAUAUAUGAAUUAUUAUAGCCAAAUUUCAAAAUGAAACAUGUUUUUCAAAACUUAACUUGGACUUUAAAGCUUAAGAAGUAAAUAGCAGGAAAAACAAAAUCAGAUGUGAAAGUAAUAUUUAUAAGCUUAGUUUUCAAAAACCAAAGUUCUUCCCACCUUGGACACCCCAUAGGCCUAAUGUUCAUAACUUACAAGUUUUCCAUGUGUGAAAACCCUAAAUUAGGACUUCGAAGGCAUCCCAAAGCAUCUCAAGUUCUUCCCACCUUGAUUACCUCGUAGACCUUGCUUAAAGCAGGAAUAUUUUGGAAGCAUUAAAAUAGGGAGAGGAAGAAGAUGGCAAAGACCAUCAUGGAUGUGUUCGAUCAUGUAGCUUCACUUAAAUUCCACAUUCUUGGUUAUGAAAGAGCUGGAAAAACACAUGACAUGUUUCGUUUUUAUGUAUGGGGAACUGAUUUUUUAGGGAAAUUGAUUCCUAUGAUUGGGGAAUGGGCACUGAGCCUUCUGUUGAAUUUUGUUUGUGAAACAGCUUGCUCUUAAUCAAGCCAUCAUGGAGGAAGAUGAGGAUUACGAAGAUGGUUCAGAAAUAUCUUUUGAAGAAAAACCAACUGUUCCACGAACUCGAAAUCGACCUAAAAGAGAAGCUGAGGUAUAAAUAAACUGCUUACUUCUUUUUUAGAGGUGUUUAUAUGAUCGAAUCAGGUGGCUAAGAAAUGGUUCAAGGAACUAAGAAACUUCCAUGUAUAUUGUAUGUAAUUUUUCCCCCUUAAUAAUGAUUAGUUAAAAGUUGGUCGGAAUGCUGAUUAGCUUAGAUAUGUAAUUAUGUUAUUGCAUAUUCUUCAAACUGAAAUAUCUGUGGAAUGGCCUUGAUUAUGUUCAUCAUUCAGUAAAAAUAUCAUUAAUGGUUCAAAUUCAGUUCUUAAAUCUUUAAUAAAAUUUUAGUUCUUCGUAGUUAUUCUUUUAAUCUAAUUUGGUUGAAUGAUUUUAAACUUUACAAAGAUGAUGUUAAUUACAAAUAUACGCUAAGUUUGUGGCAUUUCCAACCGUAGUAGAAGCAAUACGACUUGAGAGAUUCGUAUGUCAUUUUGAAUUUGAAUAUAGUAUGUCUAACUUUGUCAUUAAUAAACUACUAUUGUGGCAUCUCAAAUAUAUGGACUAAUAUAAAUAUUAGCUGUGGUAGAAAAUAUAUAAUGAAUGUGUUUUUCUAUUUUUUAAUAAGGUGAAGUAAGUGCAAUAUAUGUAUGAGUUAGAUCCUUUCCUUGAACUCAAAUCUCACUAAAAUUUGCUUGAUUUGUCAGUCUAAAACACGCAAUAAAUUUUUUAAAUUACAAAAGUUUGCAAUAAAUUUACAAAUUUUGUUUAAGGGAGAAAGAUUUGUACAUGCCCAAUAAUAACUUAAGAAGUGUUAUUUUCCAAAUGAAUCCGAUUUUUAUAGGAAUGAUCCUAAAAUUUUCAAAUGAGUGAUUGCAUCCAAAAAAGUAAGUCCAAUGGUUUUGGGCUUAGAUGGGACUCUCAAUUGCAAGUAGAAGGUGCGUGGAAACAAUAAAUUUUGAAAUGUAAAAUCAUGCGAUUUGUUUUGAAUUGGAGAGAGGGCUAUAAAGAUGACAUCGGGCUCACAUGGACCUUUCAACCGCGAGUGGAAGAUGGAUCUAAAAAAAAUUGAAACAAUCUAAAAAAAUUUAAAUCCCACCGUUGUCUUGAAAUGAAGCUAGGCUUUGGAGAUGGAUCUUCGUAUCGGGUUUUUAUACCAUCGUGAGGAUAAUCCACAGUCGUGGUUGAAAAGUUCAGUCAGUUCAAUGAAACGCGAUGUCCCUUUGUAUGUAAGCAAGAUGUUGGAUACGAUAUGUUUGAGGAACCGUACGUGGGAGUGAUGCGGACAAAAUCCUCUUCAAAACAGUCUUUACACUUAAUCCGUCAUCUUUUUCUUCUACUAGGGAGGUUAUACCCUCUGUUGCGAUUACGAAUGCCUCCGGCGAUUCUCAACCUGACCUAACUGUUCUCUAUUUAAGUUGACGAACUAUGCGAUUUCACCAUCCAAGAAAUGCCCCCUCAAAAACCCCAUAAGCAGUAUUUCUACUACGGCCACCGCCACCGCAACCCCCACCAGCACCGCCCCACCGUCUACGGCGGCUUCUUCACUAACCGCCGUUCCCUCCCUCCACCCAGUCCUCACCAACCCACUUCCCCAAAACCCCAACCCUUCCUUCUUCACAACUGGGAUCCUGAUCUCCCAUCUCAAAAACGCUCCAACCUCCCGUCGUCCACCUCCGAUGCCUUCUUCUCCACCUCACUCCGUCUUUCCCCAAUUGCUCGAUUCAUUGUCGACGUCUUUCGGAAGAAUCAAAACCAGUGGGGCCCCCCGGUGAUCUCUGAACUCAACAAGCUCCGCCGUGUUACUCCGGACCUUGUGGCGGAGGUUCUCAAGGCUUCUCACCGUCGUGAUUCUAACUCUAUUUUAGCCUCCAAGUUCUUCUACUGGGCUGGGAAACAAAAGGGGUUUCAUCACACUUUUGCUUCUUACAAUGCUUUUGCUUAUUGUUUGAAUCGCCACAAUCGUUUCAGAGCUGCUGAUCAGAUCCCCGAGCUCAUGGAUUCGCAAGGUAAGCCUCCUAGUGAAAAACAGUUUGAGAUUCUGAUUAGGAUGCAUUGUGAUGCCAAUAGAGGUCUUAGAGUUUACUAUGUUUAUGAAAAGAUGAAGAAGUUUGGGGUUGUUCCCCGUGUCUUCUUGUAUAAUAGGAUUCUCGAUGCCUUAGUCAAAACAGAUCAUUUGGAUUUAGCUUUAACUGUUUAUAGGGAUUUCCAGGAAAAUGGGCUAGUGGAAGAGAGUGUCACGUUUAUGAUUUUGAUUAAAGGGUUGUGUAAAGCAGGGAGGGUUGAUGAAAUGCUUGAGCUUUUGGCUCGAAUGAGGGCGAAUUUGUGUAAGCCUGAUGUGUUUGCUUAUACAGCAAUGGUGAAGGUGUUGGCUUCUAAGGACAAUUUGGAGGGUUGUUUGAGAGUUUGGGAUGAAAUGAGAGCAGAUAGAGUAGAGCCUGAUGUUAUGGCAUAUGGGACUUUGAUUAUUGGAUUGUGCAAAGUCGGGCGGGCGCAAAAAGGGUAUGAAUUGUUUCAAGAGAUGAAAGGGAAGAGGAUUUUGAUAGACAGAGCAAUUUAUGGGACUUUGAUAGAGGCGUUUGUGCAGGAUGAGAAAGUUGGAUUGGCUUGUGAUUUGUUUAAGGAUUUGGUAGAUUCAGGGUAUAGAGCUGAUUUGGGGAUAUAUCAUUCCCUCAUUAAAGGUCUUUGUAAUGUAAAUCAAGUCGACAAGGCUUAUAAACUCUUUCAGUUAACCAUACGAGAGGAUCUUAAGCCAGAUUUCGAAACUGUGAAACCUAUUAUGAUGAUGUAUGUGGAGACGGGUAGAAUGGACGACUUUUGGAAGUUAGUAAGCUUGUUGCAGAAGUUGGAAUUUUCUGUGGAUGAUGUUCUUUCCAAAUUUUUGUCUUUUAUGGUAGAAGAGGAGGACAAAAUAAGCGUAGCUUUAGAUGUAUUUCACGGCAUGAUUGAUAAGGGAUAUGGCAGUGUUGCCUUAUACAAUGUCAUGGUGGGGGCUCUUCAUCGCUAUGGACAGGCAAAUAAGGCAUUAGAAAUCUACAAUGACAUGAAGAACUCAAAUAUCGAACCCAAUUCAACAACUUACUCCAUUGCCUUAUUAUGUUUCGUAGAAAUUGGUAAAAUCCAAGAGGCUUGUGCAUCCCAUAACAAAAUAGUUGAGCUGGGUUCAGUUCCUUCCAUUGCAGCCUACUGUUCUCUUUCCGAAGGUCUCUUCAAAAUCUGUGAGAUCAAUGCAGUUAUGAUGCUUGUUCGAGAUUGCCUGGCGAACAUCGAGAGUGGACCUCAGGAAUUUAAAUAUGCUCUAACGAUUGUCCAUGCAUGUAAGUCGGGUAAAGCGGAAAUGGUGAUCGAUGUUCUCAAGGAAAUGGUGCUACAAGAUUGCGUUCCGAGCUCAGUUGCAUACUCAGCUAUCAUAUCAGGAAUGUCGAAGUAUGGGACACUUGAUGAGGCAAAGAAAGUGUUUUUGCAUCUGAGGGAGAGGAAACAGCUGACUGAAGCUAACUGCAUCGUUUGUGAGGAAUUGUUAAUUGAACACAUGAAAAAGAAAACAGCAGAUUUAGUAAGAUGUGGAUUGAAGUUUUUCAAUCUUGAAUCCAGGUUGAAAGCAAAAGGUUGCAACUUGCUCUCAACUUAAAAACAUCCACUAACAUAUUUUAUUUAUCUCAUUAUUGUUUAUCAAUAAAAACUUUCAAAUCUUAUUCCAUUUAGAUCAACUUUUCAAGUGUUCUUAACACUUAUUUAAAAACACCUUACUAUUGUACAAACUUAGCUUUUCUUAGAAAAAUCUUUGAAGGAUUUGUGUUUGUAUUGUUUCAAAAGUUAAAACUGCUAGACUUCUUUAGUAUCUAUGAGAGUAUUUGAAUGUUUGUGCAAUGCUUGUUUUUGCAAUAUUUGUUCAUUAUAAAGCACUAUAAACAUAUAAAUUUCAAUAGAAGAAGAUUUGUGGAAAUAUGUAUCUUCUUGAAGAUCAAGUUUCAAAAGUAAUACUUAUUCAAAAUUGAAAUGUUUUACAUGAACCGAAUGGUUGAUUAACAAAAAGGUAUGAGAAUUAUGUAUUCGUAAAUCAAAAGGUUCGAUAUCCAUAUUAAAUAUCUAUGGGUAUCUUUCAUCUUCUUUAUCAAUGCUCGUCAAAUACAAAAUGUAUUUUGUUUAGUUUCAUUUGAGUGUUAUUUUAUUACUUAGUGGAAUAUUUAUCACGAAAUCUUUUCUAAUUGUCAUAUAGUUCUCAUUCAAUUUUAGGUUGUAACAUUCAUUUUAUAGAUUUCAAUAUUGUAUUUUAUACCAUGAUAUAUCCUAUAAAUGACCAUAUCAUGACAUAUUCUAUAAAUAGAGGAGUGUGGUGUUUUAAGACACGUCACAAUUGAGUUUAAUUAUUUUCUAUAUUUUGUACUCUUCCAUUUUGUUUUGUUUCAUUAUUGUUGUUUGUUUCUUUGUUAUCAUUUCAUAAUAGAUUGUCAACCUCAUUCUCUAAACUUUGACCAUUUAAGGUAGGCUAGUAUUUAUUUAUUUGUAUUUAUGGAUGUUGCAUAUAUGGCUUAUGUGAAUAAAAUAUUUUAUUUACACAUUAUACAUACUUUAAAUGUUGAAUACAUAUUCUUUUAUGCAUAUUGACAUAUUUUCUUACCUAUUAUAUUUACAAAUUUAUUGUUUGUUUAUAGUAAGUUAUGGUUUGGUUCAUUCUAAUUUCUUUGUGAUUUAUGAAAUAAUUUAUAUUUUUUUUUAUCUAUAAUAAGUUUAUAAUAAGUUUAUGGUUUGUUCUUAUUUCUUUUAUGAUCUAUGUAGUUUAUAGUCAUUUAUGUCUAUAAUUUAAUUGUCUACGUUCUAUUACUAUAAGUUUGAUCUAUAAUAUCUUUUUUUACUAGAAUGAUAUAAAUGUUUUUAGGGAUAGUUGUAAAUUUAGCAAUUAAAUUCAAAAUAAUUAAGUAUAUAACAACAUUUUUAAAAAAUUACAAAUAUAACAAAAUUUGUCAAAUUCUAUCAAUGAUAGAGUCUAUCACUGAUAGACCAUGUUAUAAAAAUUGGUCUAUCACCAAUAAAUUAUACGAGUCUAUCAGUGAUACAAGUCUAUCAACGAUAGUUUUGCUAUAUUUGCAAUUUUUUAAAAAUGUUGUUAUAUCCUUAAUUAUUAUUCUUGAAAUGGUCAUCCAUUACAAUUACCCAUGUUUUUAUCCAUUUACCUAAGCAUGUUCGGUCAACUUUUUUAACAUGUAAAGUUUGAGUAUAUUAUAAAAUUAAUAUAUAUAUGUUACAAUUUAGGGUUUAGAACUACUAUAUCUUAGUCAGAUUGAUUUUUUUUAUUGUAUAUCAUCUGCAUGAUAUGCAUAAUACAUAUCUAUUGAACAUGUUGAUCCAUUAUUUAAGAAAACAUAAUGCAUUGCAUUAUGUUAAUUGAUUAUCAAUGCAUGUUUGGCAUGUUUCUUCAUUUUUUAAUAUAACAAUUUCUUUGUUACAACUUUACUUGGACAAGUCUUACCAAAUUAGAACUUUUAUCAAUGAUAAUAAUUAUUUAUCAUGGGUGCUUAUUGUUGAAACUCAUUUUGAUGUCAUGAACCUUAGAGGAACGAUUAAAGGAAAAAAAAACACAACUUCAAGUCAAGAAAAGGCGAAAGCCAUAAUUUUUUUUUUUUUUUUACAUCUAUCUUCACGAGGAACUAAAGAUUGAAUAUCUUAUAAUAAAAGAUUUCUAUGAACUAUAGCAAAGUUUAAAAGAAAGAUACGAUAAUUAAAAAAAAAAAACGUAAUUCUUCUUAAACCUCAAUAUGAUUGGAAUGCACAUAAUGUUAUAAGAUUUUAAAUCAGUGAAUGAUCAUAAUUUCACAUUAUUUAAAACUUGUUCAAAAUUAUUGUUAUGCGGAAAAAAAAUUAUUGAUGAAGAUAUGUUAGAGAAAAACAUUUUCGAUAUUUUAUGUAUUUAAAAUCAUGUUCUCUUGUAGCUAAACAAAAUAACGAGCUAUUAAUGAAAAAUCAAGAAUCUUGAUUAACCCAACCGGAGCAACAUCAUUUUCUAAAGGUCAAUGAUGUAUUUUCAAACAAUCAUGGUUGAGGUCGAGGUUGUGACCAAUGGUAGAGGAAUUAAGAAAUAAUUAUACUUUUUGUGGUAAUAAUCAUUCAGAUUUCAAGAAAACCACAAAGGAUUAUCAUAAAAGGAAACUCCAUCAAAUAAGAGUUUUAAAAGUGGUGAAAAUCAAUGCUUCAGUUAUGGUAUAUGAGUGGCCAUUGAACUUGUACUUGUCGUAUGUCUAAACACUUAGUUGAACUUUAUUAAGCCUCAUCCAAGGAGAAAAGAAAGAAUGUGGAAUCAAACUCUCUCAGCUUUCAGUUCUGUGAAUUACAAAACUGAAGUAGAUUUUUACAAGAGAAUUUCCGACGUACAUCGAAAACGUUGGGAGACACUCCCUAUUUAUGAUGUCAUAAGUAAAACGUCGAAAAUAGUUUUUACCUCUCCUAACGUCGUGCAAAGAGACGUCGAAAAAAUGCAAGAAUUAAAUAUUUAUUUAUCUUCUUCCAACGUCUUGAACUACGACAUCAGGAAUACUUAUCUCGGUCGAUGUGUAUUUUUAUGUGUCGAAAAUGAACCUUUGUUCCAACAUUGCUUUUGUCGACGCCUUUUUCUGCGUCAGGAGAGCCCUAAUUUCUUGUAGUGAUAUAUUGAUUGAAACAAUCAGAGCAAUAGUGAAUAUUUAUUGAAUAAGGGUUUGCUAUUAUAGUUAUAUAUUUUGAUGUUUUACCAAAAUCUAGCAAUGUAUUUUUAUUAAGAAAUCACGAGAAGGAUUUGCUAUUAUAGUUAUAUAUUUUGAUGAUUUCAAUAUAAUUGAAAUUCACGAAGAGCUUUCAAAGGCAAUAAAAUAUCUAAAAAAAUUGAAAUAAAAGAUCUUGGUAAAACAAAAUUUUGUCUUUGGCUUACAAAUCGACCAUUUAGCGAUUGAAAAUUCUAUUCAUCAAUCAACAUACAUAAAAGUUUUUAUGGACAAAGCACACCCAUUAAACAUUCCAAUAGUAGUUCGAUAUCUAGAUGUAAAGAAGCUAUCUUUUGACCUCGAAAAAUAAUGAAAAACUACUUGGUUGUGAAGUAUCAUAUCUUAGUGUAAUAGGUACACCUAUAUAUCUUGCUAAUAACACGAGACCGACUAUAGCAUUUUCAAUAAAUUUAUUAGUAAGAUAUAAUUCUUCUCCAACCAAAAAACGUUAGAAUAAAGUUAAGCAUGUACUCUUUUAUCUUUGAUGGACGAUUGAUAUGAAAUUGUUUUAUUCAAAUAAAUCAAACUACGAUCUAAUUGGUUAUGCAAAUGCUGGAUAUUUACGUGACCCAUAUCUAUUUACAUAUGAAGUAACUACUAUAUCUUGACGAUCUAUAAAACAAACCAUAACAACCACUUCGUCAAAUCUUACUGAGAUUCUUGCAAUUCAUAAAGCUAAAAGAGCAUGUGUGUGGUUGGGGUCAAUGACUCAUCAUAUUCGAGAAAGAUAUGGUUUGUCUUUUAGUGAAAGUUUACCAACAAUAUUAUCAUAAGACAAUGCCGCAUGUAUAACAUAAAUCAAAUCAAAGAAGCGUAUAUAAAAGGAGAUGGAACAAAACAUAUCUUACCAAAACUCUUCUACACAUGAACUUCAAGAAAAUAGUGACAACAAUGUUCAACAGUUUCUUCAAAUGACAACUUGACAUAUUUACUUUUAGAAUCAUUACUCACGUCAACAUUUGAAAAGUUGGUCCACUUCAACAUUUGAAAAGUUGAUUCACAGCAUUGAAAUGCAACGACUCAAUGGACACAAGUGAUGUAUUGACGAGGGAUGCACGCUUUUUUUCCUUUGCUAUGACUUUCCCUAUUGGUUUUUCUUAAAGUUUUUAAUAAAACAAUUAUUAAAGUAUAUAAAAUAAUAUAAUAUUUUUUCUUCACUAAGGUUUUCAAUGAAGCAAUAUUAAAAGAAAAUGUAUGAUAAAUAUAAUUAUAUAUGUUAUAAACAUAUAUAUGGUAUAAAUAAAUGUAUGGUGGUGCCUUGUAAGACAUACCAUAGUUGAAUUCAAUAAUUUUUAUAAGGUAAAUAAGUUGUUUUUGUUUUUUGCUUACAGAUUUUCUAUUUCCACGAAAUUUCCAAAUUCCCUUUGAUUUUUCAUGGGACAAGAGAGAAAGAAAGUGAGACAUUGAAAGACAGUAAUUUCAUGAACUUCAUUAUCUUCUUCUUCAACUUGAUUUGAACAAACCAAACCAACAAUAAACAACACUCCCAAUUUCCACUUAAAAGUCCAUAACUUUUAAAAACGCACAAAUCAAACCACAGUUUUCCUCAGUAUACGAUUGUUAUUUCAACCAAACAUCUCAACAAUCCACAAAAACUCACUAAAUCACACGACUCUGCUCUUUAAAUUUGUUGAAUUGCUCGUUGCAAACGCUUAAUUUUCCAAAUUAUUGGAUCUCUGGAGACCAAGCCAUGUUCAAUUAAAUUGCUAAAUCAGCUAUCAGAAAGAUAUCUGGAAACACAGAAGUAUAACUUUGUUUUCACUUGUUUUCACUUUUCAAUUUUCACUAUUUCCAGAGCUUGACUUAUCCCCAUUCCCAGAAGCAGAAUGCUCAUUACUCAGAACAAGGACUGAAGAACAAGAACAAACUGCGUUUCCAAUCAGCAAGUGUAACAUAUAUUUACGAAGCAAUCAUCUGUUAGAAUAUGAUUCUGAAGAAAACGAGAAGAAAAAAUAUGCUAGAAAAUGAAAGUAAGUUAUCAAAGAUUAAUUAGGAGAAUAGAUCACUUGGAAGGUUCCAAAUCAGGAAGAUCACCAAGACAAUGUACAAUGGAACUCCGAGAUGUUCUUGGCUAAGGAUAAGCAAUCAGACUUACAAAACAGAAUUAGAUUGAUAGUAGAGCUGUUAUUGCCUCUAUAAAGCCUCCCAAAAGAGGUUUCUCAAAUCAAAAUGAUACAAACUUACUGUGUCAUGAUUGUACAAGGCUCCAGGGGGGAAGGAAUCUACCUAAUGACUUGCAAAAGAACCAAGACUUUCAUAUUUGAUUCUUUACACCAAAAAUCCUGCAGUAUCAUUCUUGUUGAAAUAAAGUUAAAAAGCUACCAACAAAAACAUAGACGAUCCUGCAGUAUCAAAGCAAAAACAGAAAAGGUUGCUGGUCGGUUACUUGUGAGCAAAAUCAAAAUUCAUGUGGAGAUUCAACUCCUCAACAGCCAUUAAUAAUCACUUCGAAGAUUUGAAUACCCUCCAGCAUGAAACACCAUGAUCAAAACCCUCCCCCUGUGGGAGGAAUGUUGCCAUGAUCCCUACCUCCCAUAGUAAUCAAAUUCUGUGUCUUUUGGCCUCUUGCCAUACUGAUAUUUCAAAUCUUGGUUGUUUCUGUGAAUAUUUGGCUGUGUUCUAUCAGGUAAAUGCCUGACAUUAUGAAUGUAACUGCUAUUCCCAGGCCUAUUAUAAUGAUCAAAAUUACUGUUACCAAGCAGGUGCCACUGCCUUCUCGAUGAGUUAUUUCUUGCAUCACUGGCAAAUCCUUCGGUCUUCCAGGAGGCAGUGCCACCUUGAUGCUGUUUAUCUUUCCGUGCAUUGUCCACCACACCCCUUGCAUUACUAGCAAAUUCUUUGUUCUUCCAUGAGGUGGCAACUUGAUUCUUUUCAACCUUCCAGAUACUGUCGACCAUACCUUUGUUCCCCUGGUUAAUGCUACUGUCCCAAGGAUUGCCAUCAUUAUUCACAUUCCCUGAAUCACUAAAAUUCCACCGGCGGCAUCCUUGUCCUGUUUUAUCAGUGAGCUGAUUAUCAUGUCCCCAGGGAUUACCCUCGUGACCUGGACCUUCAAUGUGCCCUUCUGUCCAAACAGAAUUUGAGUUCCUUGUUCUUUUAUUUUUACAUUCCAACCAAUCAUCACGUUGUUUCAUAUUUGGAGUGUAAUAUGCCCAAUCCAGUUCCUCAAUCAUUUUAGAAUCCAUGUCAGGACUCCAAUCGAUUUGUUCAAUAUGUUUGUCUGGAUCAGGCAAAUGGAUGUCACUCUGAUGCCCAUUAAUCUCUGCCCAGUAACGUCUUUUGGCAUUGUGGAAUGCCUCUUCACAAGCGGAAUCAUCCCACUUGACUACAUUAGAAUGACAAUAAAUAAAGUUCUUGGAAUCAACUAUUUUACCCCAUGGCACACAACCGAUCUCUGCACAAAAUUUCUUUUCCCAUAGAGGAAUACCAUCUCGCCAAUGCUCUACACAAAGAAGAAACGAUGAAAAUUAUAUUCAUAGUUCACUGAAGGAUUAAAAAUAUGGAUGAGGAUUUACAAAACAAGAUGUUAAAUUCAAAUUCUACGAUCAAAUAUUUGCAAAUGCUUUAAAAUCAGUGAAGAGAUGAAAAUAAAUAGAAUAUGUCUUAUUUCGAUCGUUAAUAAUAGGCAUAGGUUUCAUUUUAAAUCCUGAAGCUUUAACACAAAACAAUUCUAUCUUGAAGUUUUGAAGAUUAGCCAAAUUAGCCCCUACCAUCAACUUUCUCUAAGAAGUUGGGAACUUCUAAUUUCAUUCAUAAAACACUUUAUGUUUAUGUUGGACCCUCCUCUCCCUCCCAUCUUUCGAAUCCCUUGCUUCUCUCUCCAAUUCCCUGUUUUCUCCCUCAGGAUCUCUCCGUCUCCCCCCUUGUUGGAUCUUUUUCUUUCUCACUUUCCAUAUUUCUUUUGCCACUGCAUCACCCUUAACAAUUCAUUGUUACCUUCUCCCUCUACAGUGAUUGACAUGAAGAAUGCACAAAAGGGCAUUGAAUCCUUCUCAGGUACCAUGUCUACAUAUUCAGUUUCGAGAAGUAGGAGAGUGAUUAGAUGUGAGUUAGUUUGAAGUUUAAUUGAGUGUUAAUUUUAUGUCUAAUCAAAACUAUUUUGUGGCAACUCUCUUGUCAUUUCUAAUGCCAUAAACCACUGCAAUCCACCACUUGGCGAUAGAGAUAGAAGGGAAAAAAGAGAACAUAAAUUUUAAGGUUGUACAAUCAACUUUAUCCUUGUUUCCUGUGAUCCCCAUUUUUCAUGAGAGUGUUUCUUGUAAUGUAAUAAGAUGUUACAGCAUCCAUCUUACAAUAGUAACCAUAAGCAGUUUCUGAUGGUUCGUUUACUUCUGAGAAUCACAUUAUUAAUCAACUAAACUUCCAUAAAUACAAGAAAUAAGCAACACUCCUAUCCUUAAAACACCAAUCAUCUAGAAAUGCCGCAUGUAUUCAACAAAUUGGGAGCAGUUCUAACAAAGUUAGAAAGGACCUAUAGCCCCGUUUGAUAAAAAUUCUGAAUUUAUAUGUUUAUUUCUUUUCAAUUUUCCAUUUACCGUUAAGAAAAGAACACUUGAAUCCCAAAUCAAAUUAGAAAAACAAAAACCACUCGUUUUUAAGAUUUCACACAGCAUACAUUCACUUUUCUCAUCUUCCCAGAAAAGAAAAGAACGUGAUAAGACGUUGCAAUGCAUUUUUAUAGCAGAAACUACUCAAAAUAGUAACCUAAUCGCCCAUACACUAGUAGUAGCAAUCACAAAUUCACAACAUUAUGAAAAAAUAUAAGAAUUUUCUCCGAAUAUAAAUCUAAAUAUGUAAAGAAACAAAACAACAAUCAAGAUUGGUGCCAACUCCAACCCAAGCUUCAGCUUACUUCAACAUCUUGCCCAAAAACCAUUCUUAAAACAGAACCAAAACAACCCAGAUGUCCAUUCAAUUCAACAGCUGAAGAAACGAAUAAAAAAUCUAUCCAAGAAAUGGAAUUGAAUGAAGAACAAGGCCAUUGCACCCUAAAUCUAAAAAUAAGAAAGGGAGAAAAUCACCAAGUGGAGGAUCGUGAUCGUAAUUUCUUAUCGCCGACCAUGGAGGCUUCUGGUAUCGAAAAUUUCUCCUGGGUCGUUCUCUCCAAUUACCCAUUAAUGAAACAGAAAACCCAGAUAAAAUAUAGGAAUUGGGCAGUGAAAAUCUCAAGAAAUUAAUCAAAUUAGGAUAGAGGGGCAAGAAUUGAGAGGGAACCCAUGUUGAAGAAGGGAAAUUCGUGAUGGGAAGAAAGCGAAAAAAAAAAAAGAAAAAAAAAAAGAAAAGGGCGGCGAAUGUGUAAGAAGAAAGACGAGGAAGAGCGAAGUAUGAGGGAAAUUGAAGUGAAAAAACGUUGGAUUUGAAAGAAAGAUGGUACAAGGCGCUGCGGCUGUACAGAUUUGGGGGAACUGACCGACUCCUUUUUGUUCUCUUCUUCUUCUUCUUCUUCUUCUUCUUCUUCUUAGACACGUUUCACUACGUAUAUUUGUACUUUCAUUUCCAUUUAUACUCAACUUUCUACUUUUUUUUUUUUUUUUUUCUUCUCACUCCCUCCACUUUUUAUUUUAUUUCUCAAUAGUCAUUCAAAUAAAAAUUGUUUAAGGUAUAAACUACGAAAAGUUUUUUCUUUUUUAACGGGAUGGAUGAAAUGAGUUAUAAUAGUCUAAUCUUUGUUUGAAAUUAGUUUUAGUUGAGGAUUAGGAUGAAAUCUUUUAAUAACUUAAGUCUUCACUAUCUUCAACUUUGAAAGAAUGUUUGUUGAAAUUGUUGGAAUGUUUGUCGAUAGGAGAUGUCUACGAGUGUGGGAGAUGUCAUUCUCCCUCUCUGUGCAAUUUUCCAUGGGAAUUGGAUUGGAAUUCCCCACAGUGAAUUUAAGGGAUUGGGUUUCAUGGGGGAAAUUUUUUCCAGUUAUUUAAAAAAAUAUAUAAAUUAUUAAUGAGAAAUUUUUUAUUAAAAAAUUAAUCUAUCACUGAAUAGCUUAUUAUGGUUAGUUUAUUUAGUUAUCAAAGCAUCACUUACCCGACAUUGAACAAUAUGUUCUUCAAAAUUGAUCCAUUUUUUCGAUUAACUUUGUUUUCCUUUGAUAAAAGGCUUUACAUAUAGUCUUUCUCAUUGUUAAUCCAUCAUUUAUAAAAUUGUAAGUAGAUGACAGGUGCUAUGCACAACGUUUAAAUUAUAAUGAAAUCUCGUAAAAAAAAUAUGUAUUGAGUUUAAUUCUCAAAUAUUUGACCUAAAAUGAAGUUUGGAAAUAGUGUAAAAAACUGUAUAUUUCCUAUUUCAAGUUGAUUAACCAUGGACAUGAGAUAUUUUGUAGACAGUGUAUAAAAGAAAUAUAUAUGGAUUAAUAAAAUGAAAAUAGCAUGGAAAUAAAAAUUGAUAUAAAAGUGACAUAAUAACACAUAUUAAUUAUUAUUUAAUGGGAAAAAAUAGUUGGUUAUUUAUUAUUUAAAAAAAGAGAGUGAAAGUGUGUGAAUCUCAUUUCCUAAGAUUAUUGACUUGAUCACUUUAUAACAAACAUUUCUCUCCAAGUUUAUAAUAAAUUGGCUAUCAAUUAUCACCUACCAUAAGAACUAAGAAGUUACCAUGAGAAAAUGUGAGUUUGGGCUUUUAUUUGGCCCUAUAUGAUUUUUGGCUCCAAUCCAUUACUACCCUUUCUUUUUUGUUCGCUUUUGGGUUAAAAGAGUUCUUUUUUCUCAAAUUAUAUCUAAUAGAACAAAUUAAAAAACAAACUAUAUAAAAGAUAAAAUUAGUAAAUUUUUUAAAACGAUAGCAAUCAUCAAUUGCUACUAUCAAUAAUAGCUUUUAAUCUGAAUGUUUCAGGAAGUAGUGUCCAAAACGGUAGCUAUACGUUGAUUUUUUUUGUUUGUGUUAUAUAUGUAUCUUUUUCCUUCCUAUAUAUUCAAUUAAUUUUUAGUUAAGUGCCAUUUACUCGAGUGGUCCUCUUUGGUCCCUAGUUUAAUUGAAUUAAAUCCGAUAUUUUUAAUAAAUUUGCCUAAAUUAAUUUAUUUAAUUUCAAUACAAUAUUUUUUCAAGAUCGAAGUCCAAUAACAUAUAAUUUUAUUAUCAAUUUAAGAAAGUAUGUAUGUUACCCUUUAUUAAUGAACUAAAAUUUCUUAUUAAACUAUAGAUCUUACAUGUAAAUACUUAAAUUAUGUCAUGUCAUGAGACUUUUAAUUAAGUCUCUCUAGGGAAAAGAAUAUUCAUUCAUGUGACCAACACCAAUGACAUUUAUGUAUGUACAAUAUUUUGUACUUUUAGGUCGAAAUAAAAUUUCUUAAACUAAGGUCCUGAUUUUUUACACAAUCACAGAGUUAAAAUUUAACCUAAAAAAACUAAUUAUUAUAUUUUGUUUUUAAAAUAUUUGACGAAUUAUAAAAUAUAUUUAUUUUUUAUUUUGUGUUGUACUAACUGGAAAUUCAAAAUUUGAAAUCUCGCUUUUAUUAUAUGAAUAAAAAAGAUAGAAUAAUUUAAUGGAUUUCUUUUUUAUGUUUUUUACAAUAUGUGAUGAAAAAUUGGAGAUCAAAUUAAAUGACUUGUCCUUUUAAUGGUAUUAAUAUAGAUCUUGUAAUUGUUUGACCUAUGAAUCUAAUGUUUUAAUAAAAUCAAUGCACAGUUACAGACCUAUUGUUUUAAUAUCAUUUGUUUGUAACAAAUUCAAACUUUAUUUUAAAAUCUGAAACAUUCUUUAAUUUAUCUAUAUAAAUAGAGGGAAAAGACUUAUGAUGAUCUUUAUUUUUUAUCUAUUUCAGUAAAGCAUUUUCUUCAUUCUAACUCUUUUCUGACAAGUGCUCGUUGUUGAAGGAAACUUCGAAUAUAAAAUAAACUAAAAUACUCUAGCCAACUUAGUACACCUCAAUUGAAAACAAAUACACGUUGUAAUGUAUGAUAAGAUGAUGUAACAAGACUUAGAUAUGGAAAUAAUAAAGACUUUUGAGAAAACCUCAAAAUCUUUAUAUACUCAAACCAUGGUCGAGGCAUGUUUAUGAUAGUCGUUGUCCUGUUCACUUUGCAAGGAGACUACAAUUACCAUCUUUUUGUAAAAUACAACGACUAACUCGAGUAGAACUACAACUCUGAACUACUUGAUUUUUUCACUACAUAUGUAUGUUAGUCAAGAGUGUUGUGUUAACCUUGGAGAGAGAUCAAUAUAUGCGAUUGAGUACAUAUGUUGUUGUAUUGAGUCUUUGUUUUGAAGGUAGUGGAUCUUCUAUGACACAAUAAUAAUGGACCAUGUAGAUUAAAUAUAAUAUAAUAAGAAAAAAUAAGAGAGGAGAGAGAGGGAAAAAAGAAAAGAAAAGAAAAGAAAAGAAAAGAGAGAAUGGAAUGUGUGGGAAUUAAUGUGGGGGAAAGAUGAAACUAAAUUAUAUUCCUAAGCCAAAAGAAAGAAAGAUAGAAAGAAAGAGAAUAAUAUAUGAUGACAAGGCUUCCUAUGAGGGACCCAUUACCAGCUGGCUUAUCUGUUCCUUUCAACAAUUAUGCUUUGUUUUCUUUCUCACAUUCUCACAUUCUCACAUUCUCACAUUCUCACAUUCUCACAUUCUCUCCUCUAUUUCACUUCCUCAAUUCCCCAUUUUACCCUUGUCUCCCUCCUUCCUUUACAUCACAUUACUAAACUAUAUACUUAAUUACAUAUCUUCUUAUAAUUAAUUACUUUCCACUUCAACCUUAUUCCAAACCCGUCAAUAUGUAAAUAUAUAUCUAUAUAUCCAAACGUUUGAUAUCCAUAUUUAAUAUCCAUACAUAUCUCCAAAUCUUUUAAGAUUUAAAAACUAUGUUAUCUAUCAAACCAAAUAUGGAUAGGAAUACUAAUUAAUGACAAUAUCCACGACUUUGUGUUCAACUAAAACAAAUUGAUUAUUAACCUAAAUAAAAUUUAUAAUUUUUGCCACUAUAUUAACAUAUAUUCAUUGAUAUAUAUCUAUAGAAUUGAAAUUUCCAUAUUGACAUUGAUAACUAUAUCUCAAAGUUAGAUAAGUAAAAAAGGGUUGCAAUUUUAAUUGAUAACCAAAUUCUAUCUUGUGCAUCCUACGAAUUGUAUAAGUAUCUUUAUGAUAGUUGUUAAGUCAUGUACCGAUUACUUUAAGUUGUGGACUGGGUACAUGAUUAGGCCUACACGUUUGCAGUUUACUUAAUGGGCUAACUGACAUUGAAGUUUUUUUUUUUUUUUUUUAAUUUGAUUAAAGUAACGUUGGAAUGAACUAUUUUUAUGAUAUUUUACCAACUUUAACGGUUGAUUAAAUAUGUCUGUGCAUUAUGAAGAUCUAGUUAUUCUAAAAUCUAGUAAUGACCGACUGAUGCAUACUCAACUAACAAAAUUUUGUGCAAAUGAUUAAUAUAUAUGUUUUGUUGUCUAACUAUGUUGUUUUUUACAGAUUAAUUGGACAUCAUACACACACGACAUUAUGACAUUGCUUGAUCAAUGUCAUAAUGAUCAAGAAGUUUUGACUUCCUUUGGCUCUUUGAUAUGCUUCAAUAUCAUAGAAUGAUAUUUACUAGAUCGUGUGUUAUGACAGUUCGGUAUGCGACAAAUCGUAACAUCGUUGUGUUUUACAGACCCAAAACUACAUCAAAUUGAUUAGAGGUGAACACAAUCAAAACUAGUGUAAGAUUCAUAACAAAUAUAUCACAAUGUGGUGUGCACCUCAUGAGAUCCUUGUGCAUAAUGAGAGAAGAAACACAUGACCCAACUGUAUCAGAUGAUUAUUUUUCCUAGUAUAAUUCAAUUACAAGACAAUUUAUCACAUACGACAAUACUUACUAUUAUUGCAUGAUAAGAAUUUUAAUAUGAUACGUUUUACCGUCCAUCUCUUCAUCACCUCCUUUACAUCAUUUCCUAUUUAUUCCCUAUUUAAACUAUUACCUACCAAUUCUCGGUUUAUUUUACUUUUUCUUUCUCUCCUUUAAUCUCAUUUUGGUUAUUGUUUGACCUUUGUUUAUCACAUAAAACAAAUACUAUCCCUUUAAUUAAGAUAUAUUUGGAUUGUAACAAAAGAAAAUAAAAUAAUAGAAGCACCAAAGACACCUUAAGACUUAUAUAUUUAGGGUUAACUGUGCGUUAAUAACUAGUUGUGUCUUUUGUGUAUUUUGUUAUAUUUAUCAAUUUAGUAUAAGCUCUAAGAGACUAAAAUUUGUGAGAUUCCAUACUUUGAAGUAUUAGUUUAUAUAUUUUGCGGUGAAAAUUGGUGUAAUAAUUACACAAAUGGGAGUGAAAAAUUGGUGUAAUAAUUACACAAAUGGGAGAACGACGAGAGUAUUUAUAUGAAUAAAAUGAUAUCUAUAAAUUUGUUUUAGAUGGAUUCUUUUCAAAUUCAAGAAAACUUCAAACGAAUAAUUGAUCACAGUACUAGCUGUGGAAAACAUUAGUUUAAACUUUGUUUUUCAAACUAAGAGAAUGAAAGAUUUUUAAUUAAGUAUUGUCCGUUUAAUUUGUAAUGAAUGAUUUUUAAUUAAGUAUUGUCGGUUUAAUUUGUAUUUGUAUACUAACAAUAAAGCUAUAUUUGAAUAUUGAAGUUUUUUUAUAAAAAAAUAUAAGGUAUUUAUGAAAGUUUUGAAAUUAGUUUAAAGGUAUUUUAAUUUAUAACAAAACACACUAACACUAUUUCUAUCUAAAACUAACAAUUAAAAGAGUUACUUUUUAACAUUUUUAAACUUACAAAAUAGGAAGAAGAUUGAAUUUUAAUCUCACAAAUUUGUUCAUCCUUUACAUAUAUCUGUUGAACUAUAUGAAUAAAUACAUUCCUAUUAACUACUAAAUGACAACAUUAUUUAUUAAACUUAAAUUUUUUUAUAAAACAACAAUUAUUAAACUUAAUUCUUUUAUAAAGCAUAAAUAUAUUGUUAUUUUUUCUAUUUUUAACACAUAUUAAAAUAGUUUGUAGAAAAAAGUAUUAAUCACUUGGUUAAAUGUAUUUUUAUUUUUAAGUGAAUUAUAUUUCAUAAAUACAACACCACAUCUCUUUUUCCUUAAACUGAACAAUUACAUUUAAUUACGUGAAAGAAUAUUUUGAUUCUUUUUUUCUAGAAACAUAUCAAAAUUACCAAUCCAAGGUUGUUUAUAGACUAAAGAAUUAAUUUCUAUGUUUAUGGUAUUAGAAAUUAAUUAUGUUGCUUUCCACCACUAUUUUCUUCAAAUUAGUAUGUUUUCUUUUACUUUUUGUAUAUUUUCUUAAAAAAAUUUCCAAAGAAAAAAGAAAAACAUUCUAGAAAACAAUGACCAAAGAGAACCUAUACGACCAUUUACGUAUUAAAUUCUCUUAAUGCAAGGUAUAUUUUCUCGAUCAAUUGUCCUUGAAUUAUAUUUUCAUUUUAACGUAAAAAUAAUUAUUUUAAUUUUUAAAAUUUUUUUUACCCAAACUCUAAACCAUAAUUUCAAAGUUCAAAGAUGAAGAUAGAAACUUUUGAAUGUUAUUUAUAGACACAUACUAAAAUGUCUUUUUAUAUAUAGUUAAUCCGUGUAAUAUUGUAUUUAAUAUUUCUAGCUAGAGACCUACCAAAGCAUCAACCAUAUCAUACUUUACAUUUUUAGAAAGAAAAAGAAAAAAUAGAUGUAGACUCAUUAUUAUUGUAACCAUCUCUAUAAAAAGUCUCCAUACAAUAUAACAAAAUGGUUAUAAUAAUUGUGUAUCCUUUCAUAAACUCAUUUAAUUUAGCCCACAAUCAUUAAUUAAUACCCAACGAUAACAUAUGCAUAUAUACUAUUCUUUUGUUGUUUUUCAACUUAAAGAGGAUGUUAAGUACUUAACAAGCCUUUUUAUGUCAUGAUUUAGUCCUAAAUGACCUUUUUCAUUCCCAAACUUUUAAGGUUUCUUUUUAAUAAAAUAUGAGUUCUAUGUUCACUUUUGUAUUAAUAUAAGUUUCAUAUAUAUGUAGCUUACAUAACCAAAUUUAGUAUUGAAAAGCCAAAAGCCUUAAGUACACAUCAAUAUAAUUAAAUAUAUAUUUAAUUUAACGGUAAUUGAUAUAACAUUUCAUCUCCAAUUUAACGGUAAUUGUAACAUUAUUAUAUUAUCGUAGGUAUAAAUGUUAGCUAGAGUUAUUUGUUUUAAUUCAUCUCAAUGCAAAUGUUUAUUGGAAUAAUGCAUUAAUGUGGUAACAUGCAAAUGUUUUUUUUUUUUUGUUCAUCUUGAAUGGGUUCACAAUAAUCACAAUAAUGUUGUUUUUCAUCUUGAAUGGGUUCACAAAAAUAACAACAAAAACACAUUGUUUACAAAUUAAAAUAUCUCAAUCGGUGAGAUUUGAUUUUUCAUCUCAAGCUAAUACAUAUUAAAAUGUGGGGAUAUAAAAUUAGAAGGGUAAGAAAAAAGUAUAUGAAGUAAAGAAGGGAUUUUUUUGGGUGUAGUUUUAGAACACAUAACUUGAAACUGUACUAAAAUAACAAAUAAAAACAAUAAAACACUAUUACCAAUUUGUACUAUUUGUUUGUUUUCAGAACCAUUUUCCCAUCAAUCUGUUUCUUUAAAAAGUGCUUUUUUUUUAUAUAUAUAUAUAAAUAAAAGAUUAUGUUAUUUAUAAUCCCAUAAACUUGUUAAAAUUAAACUUUGAACAGUUUUAAGAACUUUUCUUUCUAUUUGUUAUGAAAGGGAACCAUGUCUUAAAUACUUACACAUGGUUUGGUAUAUGAGUUAGUACUUUCACUAAUAAUGUCUCUACAUUAUCAAUCCUCAAUCAUGGUCAAAACUAUUUCAAACUAAAGAAAUUAAAAACAUCAUUGACAAUUAACUUAUUACAAAACAAUACACUAAACUUUUGUUUUUGGUCAAAAAAAAAGAAACUGAAAGUUGAAGAAGAAACUUAUUCAUUACAGAAUUGAAAGUUAUGCUAAUUGAAGUUAAAAAGAAAAGAAAGUAAAUUGGUGAUUGUGAGAUGUUAGUAAAAGGAAUGGAGUGGAGUGGCAAUUCAGUAAUUUGGUACCCAACAAGCCUUUGAAUAUGUUUGAUGGAUUUUGAGAGAAAAAGUAAAAGGCUGUGACAAAAGAUUAAAGGACCCAUUCAAGUCAAAACCAUUUCUUUUUAAAAUUUUGAAAUACCCAUUGAAGAAGAUGUUCCCACAAAAGUAGAGCUCUGAUGACUCCUCUCCCAUUCUUUUUCCUUUUUUACAUUAUGUUCAUUGAAAGGCCCACAGAACUGGAAGCAACCAACACAAACUCAUCUCAUCAAAAUCACUUAACAAACACACAUCAAUUCACAAUUAACUAAACACUUCUAAACUAUUCACUUCACAUCUUUUCUCAUUUCCCCCAUUUCUCUUCUUCUUCCCACUUGAUUCUUUUUUUUUUUCUUCUUCAAAGUUCCUCAUGAUUUGGGCAAGAUCUGCCUCUCUUUCUACUUUCCCCCCUCUUUUGCCUGCUUGCUGUUUCAUGAGAUGCAUCCUCCAUUGUUGAAGGUUCUAUCAAUGCCUUCCCUCUAACAUUUAUUCUUUUUUUUUUUUUUUUUUUUAUGUAAUUGGGGUUGAAUUUUGGAGGGCCCUUGAUUCAUUUUUCGUGUUACUUGGAUAACUUUUUUUUUUUUUUUUGAGUUUUCUGGAGAUUAGUUGAGAUACUGUUCUAGACCAAGUAUUUUCUCUCCUUUGGGAUUGAGAUUGAGAUUGAUUGAGAUACUGUUUUAUUUCCAUUGCUCAUUGAUCUCAUUGGAUUAGCCACUUGAUUGUCUCCUGGUUCUCAAAUGGGGAAGAAGAAGGGCUGGUUUUAUUUAGUCAAGAAGCUAUUUAUUUCAGAGUCACAGCCUAAGCCUGAGAAGGUAAAGAGAGAGAGACCUAUAUAAAGUUUGGUUUUUAUUUUUAAUUUUUUAUUAUGUCUUCAACUAAUCAUCAAUUCCAAUGAAUUUGUUUCCUCAGAAGCAAAAGAGAUGGAAAUGGGUGUUUGGAAAGAUGAGGAACAAGAGACUAGCCACACUAACAGCGCCAUUGCCACCAAAAGCAACGACGACGACGACAUCGAGACUAGAGGAGGAAGAAGAGGAAGAGGAGAGGAAGCAGGCUCUUUCUGUGGCCAUUGCAAGUACUGCAGCGGCCGAGGCGGCAGUUGCAGCAGCUAAGGCUGCGGUUGAGGUCGUUUGGCUCACAGGGACCACUCAAUCUCAUCAACAAGAGGCUGCAGAAGAAGUCUUUAAGCCUCUCAAAAAGGCUCCUCCAGCUGAUCUCCUUAAACGUGAAAGGGAAAUCCAUGAGUUUGCUGCUAUUACUAUCCAAACUGCUUUCCGUGGCUUCCUUGUGAGUACUUCUUCUGACUGUACUUUCUGCCUUGCUUCAAUAGAACUAGAUUUCAAAAUGCUGCAACAAAUUGGUACUGCUACUGUCUGAGUUAAAAAAGCAGAACCCAUGGAGCAAGAUUUUAAAUCUUGUAUUCUGAUUUUUUUCUUUUUAAGGAAUUGAAGAAAUAAACAUUCAAGAAAUUAGGCAUUUAUUUUGUUUUUUUUGGGAUGAAAAUGAGACGUAUGAGAGAUAAAAGCUUAGAAACAAAAACAAAAAAAUAAAAAAUAAAAAUGGAAGUUCUAUCAUCAUUUGUGGAAAGUUAGACACACUAGGAAGGGAAUACCAGAACUUCUUUUUUCUUAACUUGGUAUACACAUAUAACAAUAAGAAGUAGAUAUCAUGUAAACAAGUAGUUUUGUUCGUUUUAUGGAUUUGGUUUUACUUACGUCGGUGUAUUGGUGCAAAACUAAAAUACUUCAGUUUCCAAUUGGAAAUACUUUUUCUAAUCACCUAUUGGUGUUUGGGGUCUGCCCUUAUUUCAUUGUUUUCAAUAAUAGAAUGUUUCUCCUCUAAAAAAAAAGUAGAGAAGGUAACUAAAUGCACUUAUUUUUCAAAAACAGAAACGAACAGUAAGAAAUAUGAAACUAGUACGUUAUCAAAAGACAUUUAAUAGUUAAUCCUAAGACAUCAAAAUGUCACAACUACUUGUGUACUCGUUCACAAAUUGUGACUCUCCAGGCUUGUCUACUUAGUGAUAUUUGUAUUAUUAAGUAAAGAAUGUAAAUUUUCAGGCGAGAAAAGCAUUAAGAGCACUGAAAGGAAUAGUGAGGCUACAGGCAAUUAUUAGAGGGAGAGCUGUUAGGCGCCAAGCCAUUGCUACUUUGAAGUGCUUGCAGUCCAUUGUUAGCAUACAAUCACAAGUCUGUUCAAAUAGACUUCAUCUUCCUCAAAACACUUUCAAUUCCCCUGAAACGAGGCAGUUUCAGAGCUUGAAGGAUAAGAUCAUAAAGGUAUGCCAAGUCGAAUUAUGGCAGUAUUGUGAUUGAUGUACUCUGUUAAAACUAUGAUUGGUUCGAUCAUACUAUUGUUUCUGAACACAGUUAUUCAAGACAACAAGUCGCUUCAUAGACUUAGCUUGCAUGAAUUUACUUCUGGACUCUUCUCUAAAAGCCUUUAUCAAUGGUGAUGUUGACCAUUGAUAGAGGACAACAUUUCUAAUCUUCAUCAAUAACUCUAAAAAAAGGAUAUCUAUGAAAGAUAUUUUCCAUUUCUAACGAAAAUAGGAUUGUGUUCCCAUCAAUAAUUCUCCCACACAGCAGAAAUAGUACCAUGCCCACAUUGCUUUACUUUUGAACUCUCCCCAAAAGACUUGUACGAAGGUUGUUUUACAUAUUCAACAUUUUUCUUUUACCUGAUGUAGGACUAUAUUCACGUCCCAACAAUUCUCACUCGAACAAGGAACCACCUAAACUACAUCUUAAAUUGUUGUUUAUGCAUCCACACUUGAUCUUAACAAGUUUGCUCUCAUUUAGAUUAACUCCUCUUCUCUGAAGCAUGCGAGUGUAUUUGCUAAAACUCAACCACGAAUCUCAUUGUCGGAUUACCAUAGGCAGCCACUUUUUGUUGUUCCUUAACAAGCCUCUUCCUUGUCUUCCUCUGAUUUUCUUUGACAUCCUGGAUCAAUAUACAUUAGCAGUUUGAUUGAUUCAAAUUGUUUUCUUAUUCACUUUCUUUCAUUGACUUUUGAAGUUGGAUUCAAACGAUCAAAGGUGGGAUGAUAGCCUAUUAUCAAAAGAAGAAGCAGAUGCAGUGUUUUUGAGCAGGAAAGAGGCAGUAAUCAGGAGAGAGCGAGUGAAGGAAUACUUAUUCGCCCACAGGGUAAGUAAUUAUAGUACUAACAAUGAACAUUUCUUAAACAAACACUUCCGUUCCUUUGCUUCCUCAAUUCAAAUUUCUGAUAUUCCUCCAUUUUACAGAGAUCUGCAGAAUCAGAAAGAAAGAAAGUACGAGGAAGAUGGAGAUACUGGCUAGACCAAUGGGUCGACACCCAACUCUCGAAAAGCAAAGAACUCGAAGAUUUGGACUCCAUUUUCACCUCAAAUCCAAAAUACAAAGAGACAACAAACGAAAGAUUCAAACCAAACCCAACAACAAAAAACAUGGAUAGAACAACAGAACACCCCCCCAACCAAUCUCCAUCUCAAAAACCAGCGCUGAAAAGCCCCUUUCAUCACAAGAAGCAACGUUCAUUAGGAGGUGGAAUAGACUCAAACAGCUCAUUUUCAAGCUCCCCACUGGUACCAACGUACAUGGCUGCCACUGAAUCAGCAAAGGCAAAAUCAAGAUCCUUAAGCUCCCCAAAGCUAAGGCCAGCAGGGGGAUUGGACACUUGCUCUGAUGGGAAUUCUCCAUGCAAGACAAAGCAGCUCUGUUUGGUUUCUUCAAUGGUGAGUGAAGUUGGAAUUAGCAGUGGGAGAAGAGGUUUUCAUCAACAGCAAAGAUCACCAGGACUUAAGGGGCUUCCAGGGCCAACAAGAUCAAGCAGAACUCUUAUCAAAGAUUUGAGCAUUGAUUCUGAGCAUUCCUUGCCAAACUGGGAUAGACAAAGUGCCUUCCAAUGAUUGUUUUCUUUGUUGGGCAGAUUGAUAUUAAAAUGAAUAUAGAAAACAGUUUGUGGUGUUGUGCUCAUAUAUCUAAUAAAAAUGUGUUUGAUGUUUGUAGAUCAUAGGUGUGCCUAUAUUUAAUCAUGGUGAGUUUUUCUUUUCUUUGUUAUUAAACCAUAUUCUGCAUAUUUGAUCCUUGUACUAAUUGUUUUUGUUUACCUUUUCUCCAAUAGUUUAACCCUACCAGAGGUAGAAAUUGGACGUUAGACUUUCAAAAACAGAUAUAUAAUACUUUGACUAGUUGAACUGUGUACAACUCCGCUUAUUGUUUUGAUCAUCAGUAAAUUACUAUUCUAUCAAAUUUCUUAACUAGCGGUCACAUUUAACAAUUUUAAUUCUUAAUCUUAUUUUACAACUAACAAACCAUACGUAACCAUGUUCAUGUAGUCAAAGCGAGUUUAGUUUAGAGGGUGUUUGAUGCAUAUGUUUGGAAUCUUAAAGUGCAAGAAUAUUAGGUUUCGAAUGGAGAUGGUAGACUUAGACUGUCUAAGAAUGAUAUACAAAUUUUUAAAUCUUGAUUUUGUGAAAUAUUUUUUUCUGUUUUUAAUUUUUCUUUUUUUUUUUUUUUUAUCAUUGUUUAGAUUUUAAAUUGGUUUAAAUUUUCCUCAUCUUAAUAAUUUUAGUAUAGUUAAAUUUAAAAUAAACUAACAAAAUCUAAGAAUUCUUUUUUAUAAAAAAUUUGAAAUAGAGAUUUGACUAAAAUUAUAAUUUUAUUUGAUUUUACUAGGUUUUAAAAUAAAAUUUCAAACACUUUUUUGGUCACUUUCAUUCAUUUAAAAAAACCAAGUUCUUUUUAACCAUAAUUUACUAACUUCAAAUGGAAAUAAAUUAGUAUUUUGAUUUUAAAUUCAAUUGUUAAAAAAUUAUAAUUUUUCUAUCAAGCAAUAUUUGAGAAAUAAAAGUAAUCAUAAAGUUGGAGUUUUAAUUUUUAUUUGACUAGAAUGUUUCCAACAUUUUAAUUUUAAUUUUAAAAACAAUUUUCUAGUUAAAUUGAUAAAAAAAAAACAUUAUUACACUAAAACAUAAGCAAUGAUAUAUUUAAUAAUAUAUUUGAUUUAUAAUUGAGAAUGUAAUUGAUAGAUGAUCAAUUUUUACCUAAGAAAAAUAGAAACAAAUAAACAAAAUCUUCUCAAAUGAAAGAAACUUAUUUUUUUAAACUAAAAAAUUAAUUAGAAUUUCUUAAGAAAAUGUAUUUCAAAAAUCCAUUUUUUACAUGCACUCUUCAUAAAUAUUUCUUAAAAUAAAAACAAAAAUGUGUUUGACAACAAUUUUAUAAAAAUGCUUUUAUAUAGAAGUUUAACUCGGUUUGUUAGUGUUUUUAUUAAUAUUUUUAAGGUUAGUCAAUGAUAAUCGAAGAUUGGUAUGUGAGGGUCAUUGGAGUUGGUGGUCGAACGUUUGUUGGAAAUUGCAGUUGAAGAUUAGCUCUUCGGAGGUUGUGUUCGUAAGUUGACCAAAAAAUUUUUUUUAACUUUUAUUUUUUAGUACAAGAAAUGUGAGUAAGAAAAUUGGAAUUUGAGAAAAAACCAUUUUAAUUAAUUUUAAUUAUUUUAAAAAUAUUCAACCAAAAAUCUACUAAUGAACUCAAUUCUUUCUUUUCAUAUACCUAAUUUGUAGACAUGUACCACAUGGAUACGCGAUCGAAGCCAACACUUGGUAAGUUAAGUUAUAUAAUCCCGAAAUGUAAGAAAUCUUAAACAUGUUUUGUAUGAAAAAGUUAUAAGUUCUACGAUAUUGAAAGAAAUUGCUAACACAAACAUAGUUUAAUUGAAUAAGUGUAACAUCCUACGUUUAAGAGAGAAACAUGAAUGAAUCAAUUUCAUAUUUGAAUGAGAGAGAUCUUGAGAACAUGAAAGUAAGGUUAGGAAAGACUUGAAAGAAUUAAAAAUUACUACCUAUACCAAUAAGUGUUUACCUUUCUUUUCGGUGGCUCGAUCAUAGGUUAGCUUGGAGCAAUUCUAUGGUGGGUGACUUCUUGAGGAUUUUUCUAAAAUGCAUGUGAGUGCCUUUAAGACAAGUAAAGAUGAUGUUGGUAGGUCGUAGAUGAUGCAGAAGAAUGUUGAAGAUCUAAAUUCUAAAUCUUUAUCCAAAAUAACAAUAUACACAACAUAGAUACAAUAAUAUUAGAAUAAAUAAUAGAAAGUUAGGUUUGCAUAUAGAUUAUAAUAUUAUGUUAUAUUUAUAAACAUUCUCCUUAUUCAAAACAAUUUUUCUUUUCUUCUCAUCAUUCUUUCUCAAUCUUGCACCAAAACAUUUAAACCAAAAGAGGUGGGAGAAAAAACAAAGAGAGAAAAAAAUUAAAGUUUUUCUAAUAGAAAAAUUAAACAAAUCCUUUUUUCUUAGAAAAACAAAUAAAUAUGUUGGUACAUCAAUAUUAUGUUAAUACAUGAAAUAACAAAAAAUUAAAAUAAUAUCAAACUCAAACUUCAAAAGUAGAUUAUCAAGAUUAAAAAUUGAAAGACGAACAUUUGAGUUAAGGAGUUCAGAUUAUUAUCGUUGGAUUAUAUUAAAUGAUGUUUGAUGUGUAAAUUAUUUUAGUUUGAGUUAUAUUAAUGUGUGUUUGAGGUGUAAAUUAUGUUGAUUUGAGAAUUAAGGAAGGAAGAAUAAAAAAAAAGAUGAACCAAGUGAAAGUAAACCGAAGGAAAAAGAACCACUUUUGGUAAAAGGGAUUAUUGAAGUUGAAGGGGCCAGCAUUGUUGUUUAUUAAACGCCGCCCCCAUAAUUCCUUGUGAUUUACACCGAACCAAAAAUAUCUUCCUAUCCCUUCAUUCCAGCCGUACGAUCAUCACUCCUUACUACCAUCCAUCCCUUCGUUCUCUUUCGCUUUUUUACAAUACAACUUUUGAAGAGCCAUGUCCCAACCGAAGCUUCGGUAGUUCCUAACCUUCUGCUUCGUUUCUUCCAACUCUCAUCAUCUUCAUCUUCUUCUUCUCGUUUCACUUUCUUCUCACUCCAACAAACAUCUCUCUUUCUUCACUCUAACGGUAACAACAACCAUCCGUUUCUAAUUUCCAUGAUUUUUGUUCUAACUCUAAACCUGUAAUGAUGCUGAUUCCUGUGUUUAAACUGUAUUCACUUCCAUUUUUGUCCCUCUUACUAUCUUUGUUUGCUUUUUUAUUUUUUGAAUGAUCCUUCUGAUUUCUUGGCUGUUGUAAUAUCAUUUUUGUUCUGAACUUAUUUGAAUAACGAUUCUGUUCUUCAGAUCGACGUAUUAUUAACUCUUUAGGAUUUGAUUCGCUAGUAGCCGAACUGACUUUAAAUUCUUAUGAACUCAAUACAAUCAAUCCCCCCCCACGUAAAAGUAUUAAUCGUUUUUCUAAUUGGUUUAAAAUCAUAUGGAGUUGUGGUUUUUCUUGUGUGGUCCGGUAUUUUCAGCUUUAUCAGCUGUCAUAGUUGCAGGGAUAAAGAGCAGUUUUUGUUCUAUUUUGUGAGGGCUUUUGGGGCAGAGGAACAACCAAAUCUUCAGAGCGCGUGCGAGUUCUUAUAGCCAUAUUUGGUUCUUUGUUAGAUUCUUGGUUCUCUGAUGGCCUUAUGUUUCUACGUUCUUUUCUACCGUCUUGUUUCAUUCAUAAUCUGACUCCUUUUUUAGGUUUUUCCGUUUUCCUAUGCUAGUGUAUUCUUUUCACUUUUCUCUAUGAAAGUCUCUCUCACUUGGUUAAAUGCUUGAAUUCCCCAUUCAUUGGUUUAGUAUCUUCUUCUCAAAAAGAGGAAAGAAAAUUCAAUUGAAACCUGUUGAAUUGGAUUGAGUUGUGUAGUUCUUCGAGUGGCUGAAUUUAAGGACACGACAAUAAAUAGAUUUAACAAUCUGGUGAGAGCUUAAACUCUGUUUUUUGAAGUUAGUGUGUUAAAUUAACUACUAAGAACUUGCUCAUUUAGAGUUUACAAGCUUAGGGUUCCUUUAUAGAGACAGGUUUCCUGUUGUACUGCCUGAUUUAAAGAGAGAAAGUAAUAUUCUUUUAAUUCCACUUGCAUAGUCUAGUCAUUGCUCUAUUUUAGUGGAGUUCUCAUGAUGGUUUUACUCAAUCAAGUGUCUCAUAUCAAAACUUUCCAGGUUUGUGGUCUGUAAAGGCUUUUUUAGAGCUGCUGUUCAUUAAAAGAAUUGGCUAGUCUAGAGUAAGGAUGACAUUAUUGUCUGGAAGAAAUUUUACACUGAACCCCAAUGCUCCAAUCUUCAUUCCUUUUGCAAUUCGCAACGUUGAGGAUUUCUCUCCAGAGUGGUGGGAACUAGUCAAGACAUCUUCAUGGUUUCGGGACUAUUGGCUAAGCCAACAUCAGGAAGAUGAUUUCGAGAGUAUUAAUGAUGAUCUAGACACUACAGAAGAGUUUCUUGAGGCUAUGGCUCUAUAUGAAGCAGAUGAGAAACCUGAAGUCAAACCAACGGCUCAUAAGAAUCUCACAAAAGGUGUGCCUUUUGCUAAUCUUGUAACCUUAUAAAAGAAGUAUAGAGUACAAGACUUUGAUCCCUUCAUAAUUGAAUUUGAUAGGUGCAAGUAAUGAAAUGGAUGCGAAAAAAUUACUGAAGGAUCUAGUCAUUCCAAAUUCUCCAAAGAACAAAGGUCCAAAGUCCCCAAUUGGUCCUGCGAAGUACAGUGAGAAGCCAGCCAAGUGCAUGAGCCCAAAACACACUCCAAGGUUCAUUCACCAGCCUCGUUGAAAAAGAGAUUCAUACUCGUUACUGGAUUGCUAUUGCAGCAAGCACAUCAAAUGAGUGAGUACAAUAUUGUUGUCAUCGGGAUUGUGUAAGUUUCACUUAAUGAUGCAUUUUCUUCCAUAUUAGCAGUCAGUCAUUCAUUGCCCUUCCUUUUAGUGAUGCAAACUGGAUAUCGGAUUGUAGCUGCAGCAAGCGCAUGGAAUGAGUAGAAUCGUCUUGUCACACAGGUCAUGUAAGUUUCUUGAAGACAAGUAGACUAAAAUUUGACAAGUUUUUCAUCAAUUCACUUCUGUAUGUAUGUAUGUAUGUAUGUCUGUUUGAUAUAACAAGUUAUAUGUAUAAAUUAUCAGAGUCUUGUAGUCUUUGUGUACAGAUUUGGAGUACUACUUUACCAUAAUAUCAUUACUCAAUAAAAGAGCUGUCUCUGUUAAUGAGGUCGUCUCGUUUUCUUCUUAAUUGACUUCAAUUUGUAUUGAUUACUGACAACUAGCUCGGCUCUCGGCUAAACUAUAAAAGAUACCUCUAAAGGUACCACUUUUCUUCCUGAAAUUGCGAAAUUUUAUUACCUUUUGACUUUUAUAAAAGUUUUAAAACCACUUUUUGGAGUUUCAAAUGUGGAUUGAGAUCAGAACAGUUUAGUGAUCUAAAUUUAUGUUGUAGGUUACUACUGUUGCAAUGUUCCAAAUCUCAAUUUGUAUUUGAAAUUGUAAAGAAUUUUAACUCUAAAGGUAGUUUGAAACGUUAAUGAAAGAUCUUAAACAUUGGAUAUUUUUUGAAAUAAUGGAAGAAUUUGAGGUAUUUUUUCAAUCAUUUUAUUUAACCUAUACAUUUUCAUAGUUAUUAAUUGAUGAAAUCCUUAACUUCCAAAGGGUUGUUUCAUAUCCUUUGGCUUUAAUAAUAGCUUAUAAAAAAAUAUCAAUUAUUAAGGUUGGACGAAACUAGCAAUGGUUGAAAAUUAGAAAUAUAACAUCAUCAACUUGAGCAUAAUUAGAAUGGUUAGAUGUCUAUAAUUUCUCAUCAAAAAUUUUCUACAAUUAGCCUUGUGGUUAUUUAUUACUAAUAUGAAGAGAUAGACUCGUUCCAGAACAAACCAUAGUUUCUCACAAAUCAUAUAUAGAUUAAUAAUGAUAAAAGAAAUCACACUUGUAGUUUGAAUGAGUUCGAACAGAGAUUAUUGAAUUAAUAAAAAUGAAGUUGGCUGUGGGAGUGUGGCUCUCCCAAAUGUAUGUUGAAAAAAAUAAAAAGAAAAAUACCUCUAAACUACAUAUAUAUAUAUAUUUACCUUUUCUUUGGGUUUCUAAGUCAUGUUUUGGCUAUGGAAUUUGAGCUUUUAUUAUGUUGAAACUGUCCUCAACUUCUCUUGUGAUAGCAUUCACCAUCUGCAUAAGAACACAAAAUUAAAACGUAAACCAUAAUAGGAUCAAAUUCCACUUACCACAAAGUUUCCUUAAAAACAAAAUAAAUGUUAUUUUUGAAUAUGGUGUGUUAAUUUGAAAAUUUGUUUUAAAUUAUAAAAUUGUUGAAAACAUUUAUAGAUAUAGAUGUAGAAAGUGGUAGAUGCUUAUUUGAGACUAUCACAAUCUAUCACAUAUACAAAGUAAAAUAAGUUGGUUCAUUUUGCUAUAUUUGGGAGUAUCCCAAUUUUUUCUCCUAAUUUUAUUAUCUUUUCAAUCUCAAUUUUUUUUUUAUUGAGCAAAAUGAGUCCCUUCCUAUUCAUUUAUUUAAUGUUAAAUAUCCAUCUCAAGGAAUUGGAUUAAGAGAAGUAUGUUAAGGCCUUAGCCACAAUUUUAUUUAUCAACUAUUGGAGAAGGAUUUGAGAGCUUCCCAAUCAAUUAACUAUUCUCUAAUGAGAGUUCUAUACCAAAAUCAUUCAACAAAAAGAUACCCACCCCAUCAUUCAAGAUACCUAAAUAGGCAAAUACUAAGAAAAUUAACAUAAUACUUGGCUCCACUCUAAGAAUCAUACUCCAAAGGGCCCGCACAUUGAAAAUUAGUAACUAACUCUCAAUCAUUCUUUCUUCUUUCCACUUUUAUCCCUAGGUGAAUACAUGGUUUCUACGGGGGUCUAUCAUUACCCCUCCCCCCAAAGCUACCUUGUCCUCAAGGUGGAAUUCAUAAAAUUGUUCUUGAAAAAGAGUGGCUUGUUCCCAUGUUGUGCUAUCAGGUGUGCCCUCGCUCCAACGGGUCAAGACUUCUAGGUUGUACUCAUUUUCUCUUGUUUUGCGAACUUCCAACACUUCGAUCGGAGAAAAUUGUAUAGAAAAAUCAACAACCAAAUCUUUGAGAAUUAGGAAUAAUAGCCUGUUUGAACCCACUACCUUGUGAAGAAUAGAAACAUGAAAAAUCGGGUGAAUAAACGAUUUCUUGGGAAGGGCCAAACAGACCAAUUCAAGUCACAAUCAUAAAUGGACCAAUGAAUCUUGGGGCCAAUUUGGGGUGCUUAAAAUGACUGAGAGAGGACUAUCGGUAAGUGCGUAGCUUCAUAUAAACACAAUCAUGUACCUCAAUUUGCACCUCUAGUUGUUUAGCAUUGGCAUAUACCAUUCAUUGUUGUGCCUUCAGUAAAUUGGCCUUCAAAAUGCCCAUAAUUUCAUCUAUUUCUUUCAUCAAAUGGUCUACUUCAUUCACCGGACUCGAGCCCUUCACAUACGGUAAUAUAGAGGGGGUAGCCGAUCAUAGAGAGCCUCAAAGGGGGUCAUUAAUGUGGUUGUAUGGAUAGUUGUAUAUAGCUUAAUUCAUCCCAAGCUAGCCUAAGCCCACUGUUUAGGUGUGUUCAUAACAAAACAUCGCAUAUACGUCUCCAUCCCUCAAUUGACAACUUCAGUUUGACCAUCUUUUUGAGGAUGGUAAGUGGUGCUUCGUCUAAACUUAGUUUCCAACAAACGUCACAACUCUUUCUAAAAUAGACUUGUGAAAAUACGAUCACAUUUUGACACUAUAUUUCAGGGGUAUCCAUGCAAACGAAUAAUUUCUCGCAUAAAAACAGAAGCUACAACUUUUGCACCAAAUGGAUGCUUCAAAGGAAUGAAAUGUGCAUACUUGGAAAGACGAUCCACAAACAACAAUAUGACAUCAUAACCAUCGCAUUUGGAGAGACCCUCAAUAAAAUCUAUACUAAUAUCCUCCCAUACAUGGUCCAAAAUGGGUAAUACUUGAAGGAGACCGAUCGUAGUUAAUGACAAAUAUUUGGCUUGCUGACAAAGCGAUCAUUCAACAACAUAGAUGCGUAUAUGUGCUUUCAAUACCUUACCAAUAGAUCUCCCUUACUAGCUUUUGAUAUGUUUUCAAUGCACCAUGAUGUCCCCUUAUCGAACUGUUAUGAAAUUCAACUAAUAAUAAAGGAACAGUUGGUGAAUCCUUCGGAAGAACCAAAUGACCGUGAUAGCAUAGAACCUUUCCUUGUAGCGAAUAUCCCUUCGGAGUUGGGCGUUCAUUUAUCAAAGAUAACCGAAUAUUGUUAAGAGAGUCAUUCCCAACCACUUGAUCAAUGAAAAUUGAAGGAUUUAGCUCGUCCACAACACUUAGGAGCCCAAUUUAAAUACCGGUGGUAAUCUAGAUAAGACAUCAACUGUUUUUUUUUCAAUCCCUUCUUGUAUUCAAUCACAAAAUCAUACCCCAAUAGUUUAACGAUUCAUAUAUGAUAUUCUCUCCCAAUAGCUCGUUGUUCAAGAAGAAACUUCAAACUUUUCGGAUUCGUACGCAUCAUAAAAGGCUUACCCAAUAGAUAUGGCUGCCAUUUUUGAAUAAUCAUCAUGAUUGCCAUAAGCUCCCAUUCAUAAACAACUUUAAACCUAUGGGUAAUAGGUAAAGCUUGACUAAAAAAGGUCACUAGUCGUUGAUGCUACAUUAAGACAGCCCCAAUACCCAUACCCAAAGCAUCAGUUUCCAGCACAAAACUUUGUGUAAAAUAAGGAAUACCUAACACCAACACCGAUAUCAUGCAUAGAGGAUUUUAACUACUGAAACACAUUUUCUGUCAUCUCAUUUCACUGAACAUUAUCUUUCUUUAACAGUUGUGUCAAGGAUAGUGUGAUAGAGUUGUAGUUCACCACAAAUUUUUGAUAAUACCAUGUAAGACCUAAGAAACCUCACAGUUCCUUCACGUUCUUGGAUGCUGGCCAUUUAACCAUAACUUCUAUUUUUGUUGGAUCUGCCGCCACCCCAUUUGAUGAGAUAAUGUGGCUCAAGUAUUCAGUUUGAUCUACUGCGAAUUGACAUUUUUAAAAAUUCGCCACCAAUUGAUGAGCUACUGAAGUUUCUAAAACCACUGCCAAUUGGUGCAAAUGUUCCUCCAAUGACUUGCUGCAGAUUAGGAUGUCGUCGAAGAAACCAAAAUGAAUUUGCUUAAAAAAAUGUGGUUGGGGUAUUCUUAAACCUAAAUGGCAUCACAAGAAAUUCAUAGUGCCCUUCAUAGGUACAAAAUGUCAUUUUAUGAACAUCGGUAGCUCGCACUUUAAUUUGAUGAUAGCCAUACUUUAAACUAAUUUUUGAAAAUAUAGUUGUUACCCCAAAUAAUUCAUCUAGCAGUUGAACAAUAGGAAUCAGAUACUUAUUUGUUAUAGUAGCGAGAUUAACUCACAAUCGUUAACUACUGUCCUUCUUCUUAACAAGGAGCACCGAGCUUGAAAAGGCAUUUUUCUUGGUUGGAUAAUUCCAGAUAACAACAUUUCCUUCACUAGUUUUUCAAUCUCUUCUUUUUAGAAUUGAGGGUAGCGAUAAGGCCGCACAUUCACCGCUCGAGUCCUUGGUUCUAAUUUAAUAGUAUGAUCAUAAUCGCGAGGUGGAGGCAACUGAUUAUUGGGUUCAAACACACUGCUAAAAGACAAAAAAACUCUUUGAACUUCGGGUUUUAGACUCAGACAGUCUGCUAAAAUAUCCUUUGACUCUUUCACUUUCCAUUGUUCAGCUGUACUCAACUCGAUUAACGCUUCUUGAUCUUCCUUCUCAAAGGUCUUCCUCAUUGAUUUUAGUGACAUCUGCGAUUUCACUAAGCUUCUGUCCCCUUGUAGAAUCACAAAAAAAUCUCCCAAUGAAAAUUCCAUCUUCGAUAACUUGUAAUCGAACAUUACUUUCUCCCCAAGGUUUCCAGCUAUGUAACUCUCAAAAUGACAUCGACACUUCCAAGUGGUAGAGGAAGAAAAUCAUGAGUGAUUGAUAAGUUCACGAUAUUAGAUUUUCACAUCCUUACACAUUUUUGUUGCUCAAACUACACCCCUUGUUCCCAAAACAAUGCCAUAAGCAUCUAAGGUUUCCAUUGAAAUUUUUAAUUCCUUAACCACCUCCUUCAAAAUAAAGUUGUGUGUAGCUCCCCCAUUGAUUAGCAUGACAACCUUGCGACCCCUAAUUUUGCCUUUUAUUUUUAUAGUUUUGGGAGAACUAAGACCUACCAACGAAUGCAACGAUAAAUUCGCAAUCUCAUUAGUUUCCUUAUCCUCCUUAUCAUCAGUUUCCCCUGUUACCUUAUCAAUUCCAUUGCUUAAUUCCUCCCUUUCUUGAAUAGCAAUGAUAUUUAAUUUUUGUCUUUUGCAACGGUGUCCCGGGCUGAAUUUCUCAUCACACCAAAAACAUAGUCCCUUUUCCUUCUUAAUUCUGAUUUCAUUGUCGAUCAUUCGGCGGUAUGGUUGAGCCAUUGAAUUUUUCACAUUAGAAUUGUGAGGGGAAGUAAUGAACUGUGACUAGGGUUAGUUGUAAUGGUUCUUGACGUUGCGACCCGAUCUAUUCUCUUUGACCCAGUUUGAUUGACCGACCCAUUACCCAAUGUUUUAUUUGACAUACUAGGAUUUUUACUCGUCCCAUGGAUCCUUUUUAGUUGGACCACUUUGUCAUUUUUUAUUACUUGAGCCAUUAACAUUUUACCUUCUAGAUCCAUUGAAUUUAAUUUACGGAUCUCUCUUUGGAUUUUUUCCUUCAGCCCACACACAAAUUUACUUUCUAGAGUUGCAUCACUCAUAUCCGUAAAGUUGACAAAAAACUGCUCAAAUCGCAGCCUAUAUUCCCUUAUGGUGGUUUCUUGUUGCAAUUUCAUCAAUCUCACGUUCUUAUCCCUCUGACUAGUCUACAUGAAUCUUGCCCAAUUUUGCCCAACUACUAAUCUUCGUUCGAUCCUCUUUUCGAUAAUACCAAUCCAACACUUCUCCUUCCAAACAAAGAACUGUCACAUCCAGCUUAUCUCUCUCCACCAGUCUAUUCACCCACACAAUAACGUUCCACACUAUGUAACCAUCUAUCCACAUUUCCUUCUUCUCCUCUCUUAAAUAUUAGUUCAUCUAAUUUUCGUAAUCUCAUGUCGACUAGGGGUAUCUCACACUGGUUUGAUGCACAAGGUACUCUAAUUCCUUCAUUCAUAACUGAGUUAGUUUUCCCUUAACUUUUUUCUUCAUGAAUUUGUUCCUCAUUCAUUAUUCCCUAAUUUUUCUUGUCUGUUAUAAUUCUUUCACUAGAUUUGGAUCCUUUUGAAGCACUUCCCAUCACCCCAUCCCUUAUAUCAACAAUUUCAUAUCCUCACUCAUUUUUGAUAGAUUGUCCUCAAUCUUUUGUUCGGUAAUUGUUCUUUAAAUUUUUGCUUCCACAAACUCUGUUUCCAUCUUCCUUUCGAAUGCUAAUUGUCAUUCUUUUGCUUGCAACUUUUUUUUGCUUCUACUCUACUUUCCAUUUAAAACAUUCUUGUGGUUACUCCCUCCAAACUUUCUUCCAGUUCAAUCACCCUAGCUUCAAUCUUACCAACCAUUUCAAGAACGACGACUUUGAUACAAAAAUUGUUAAGACCUUAGCUACAAUUUUAUUUAUCAACUGUUGGGAUGAGGAUUCAAGAGCUCCGACCCCAAUCUCUCUACACUUCUCUAAUGAGAGUUCUAUACCAAAAUCAUUCAACAAAAAGAUACUCACCCCCAUCAUUCAUAAGAUACAUAAAUAGGCAAAUACUAAGAAAAUUAAUAGAAUAAUUUGUCCCACUCUAAUAGUAAUACUCCUAAGGGCCCACACAGUGAGAAUUACUAACUAACUCUCUUCUUCUUUCUAUGUUUAUCCCUACGGGAAUACAUCUUCACUAUAGGGUACUCUAUCAAUCAAGAAGUUUUAAACAACAUCAUUGCCCAAAACUCAAACUCUACAAUUUUAAAAAGUAAUGUACCUAAAGUUGCAAGAAGUCAUGAAUUUAAUUUAUUGGUAUGCUUUCUUAGUAUCAUUGCUAGAAUGAUUAAUUACUUCAACUCAUACUCAUUCUACCAAAAUUUUUGAAUCAUUAUCAAGUUUAGAGUGAUAUUAUCUUAGAUGAAAGAUAUUUUAGAAACAAAAAUAUUUGGGUGCAUCUUGGGCAACAAUAAAUUUUUGUUGGAGUUAACCAAUUUUUCAACCACAUUUUGUGGUGUGGUCAAUUUUUGGUUUUUUUUUGUAGUUAGAGUGAUUUUGUAUUUUCUACUUUUGGUUCUAUUUUUGGUCAUAUAGUUACUUUUCUUGUUAUUAUUAUUAAAAGAAAGCUAAAACGAAAACUUUUUUUAAAUUUUAAAAUGCAAAAAUAUUUACAAAAUAUCAUAAUCUAUCUAUGAUGAACAACGAUAGACCAAAAUAAACUACUAUCUUUGUAUAUCUGUAUCAUGAUGAACAUAUAUAGUAGCCUAUCUUAGUCUAUCAAGAUAAAUUGUGGUAUUUUGUAAGUAUUUUUAAAAAGUUUUGUCCUUUAAAGUAAUUUUCUGUGUUUUAUUAAAAAAAGAAAGUAGUUUUAAUAAAAAUAUUAAGUGCAAAGUCAAAUACUUCUAGUAAAGUAAAAGAAAAGUUAAAAUGGGUAAAAUUGUUGAGUUUGAAAAAACUGAUGCAAUCAAAUCCAAGCUAAAAAAAAAUUGAGGAACCAAAAGUAUUAACCUUUUAAGAAUUCUCAAAUAUAGUAUACUCACUUCAAAACUUAACUUCUCCUUUGUGGCAUGUCCUCUUAGAUAACCAAACUUGGAAACCCUAGACAAACUCCAACUUUCUAUUCCCUGUAUCAACAUAAACCAAAAAGUAGAAUAAUCAUUCUUCCAAAAAAAAGUAUACAGUGCACACCUUUUAUAAUAAUCAUUUUAAAUGCGUAUAUAAUUAUAAAUAAAUAGAGAGUGUGGGAGAAUUGAGAGGAAAAAAGGAAGUACAAGUAGGGGGAAUUGGUCGAGGGUAAAUCCUGCCAUGCCAAUGACUGCAUGAAGUGGAGCAGUAUAAUUAUUAUGAUCAUAAGUAUCAAUUCCAUUUAUGUCUUUCAAUGGCAUUCCUUUGCAUAUGCUGUUAAAUAUAGAACAUGUUCUUUCAUAGCUAUGAACAUGUCCAAACAACACCAAAUCCACCUGCAUUCAUAUAAUAUAUAUAUAUAUAUAAUUAAUUUUCAUCCCCAUCAAUAUUAAACUUAAUUAAUCAUCAAAAUAAUACUCAACAUCUCAUCAUGAGUAUAAUACUUAAAAGUAUAUAUAGGUUGGUUGGUUUGGUUAAUCAUCAUAUAUAUAUAUAUAUACUUUCGUUGUUUGUAUUAUUACGAGUUGAGUAUUUGACUAUAUAUAAAAAGAGCAUAUGUUAAUUAACGAGGUUUAUAAUCGUCUAUUGUUUCGAUCACUUUGACAUUCUUGAUAUAUUAUAAUUAACAAAUAUGCUUCAUUUAUUUAGAUUUUUAUAUAUUUUUGGAAUAAGAUACCUUUCUUAUCCAUAAGUCUGGAGUAUGAUUUUCUGUAGUAUUGGGUCGUUUCAAAAUCUUACACUUUUAGUUUGAGUUUCAAUUUAGGCUUUUUUUUCUUUUCAUUUUUUUUGGAUACAAAUGACAUAGAAGACUUAAAAAACUAAUCUUUUAGUUCUUAGCUUGUACUAUGUUUAGUUGAGCUAAACUCCAAUCGGCUAGUUUAGAUCCUAUUUUGUUCACAAGUUUUGAGAUUUUACAUCGUUAGUUAUCUUUAAAUGUUCGGGAGUAUCGGCCACUUUUGGUCGGUUGUGUUAAUUUCUUAUUAAUGAAUGGAAUAGAUCAUGUGAAAACUAAACUGAACAAAAUUAAUAAAUAACAAAGUAUAAAUUGGAACCAAAAUUGUGGAGGGAAUAAAAAGGUAUUUUGAAAAGAAAGAAUUUAGGGUUAGAAGAGAGGAUAUGUGAACCUUAUUUUGUAGGAGAAGUGGCUCAACAGCUGCAACAAAGCUUGGAUCAACGCUAGGAAUGAGAAGUGAACCACUUAUGGAACUGUACAUGGGUCUAUGCCUACAAUUCAAUUUCAAAAGUUAUUUGGAACUAAUUUAAAUCUUCAUCAUACAUUUGUUUUAUUUUUAAUUUAAAAAGAAAUUUAUAAAACCUCUAAAUGAGAGGUAAUAUACACUAAAUUAUAAUUCACUUUAUUCUAAUAUAACAUUUGUAGGUCACAAAUAGAAUAGUGUUUACUAUUUUGGUCUAAAAUAGUAUAAUUAUUAUAACAGAUAGACUAUAAUAAUAAUUAUAAUAACUCAUCCAACUUAAUCAGGGCUUCAUAAAUCCUAAAAAUUUACAUAAUAUUUUUCUGAGUUAUGUAUUGGAAAUUUAAUGGUAUAUGUAUCAUCACAUUGCCACACUUUCAAAUUAAAGAUGUAGAUUUGUAAUAAAUUAAACUUAAUUACCCAGCAAAAAUGAGCCACGGUGUUCUUGACCUGUCAACAGAUGCCAUGUCAUUUUUCAUCCAUUCAUACUGUUAAUAGAAAAAACAGUAUAUAUAUAUUUAAUUAAAACAAAUUGAAUUGAAUGAAUAUGAAAAAGAAAAAAGAGUUGGAGUAGAAAUGAUUACUUGUGGUGAAUUGAUAGUAAAGUCAUGCUCAGUUGAGAUGAUAGUGAAGUGAAUAGAAGCCAUUUCAAUGGAAUACCAAGGUUGAUCUUUACCAGAAAUUGGCAUUUGAAGAUAUGUUUCAUAAGGAACUCCACAUUCUCCUCCUGAAUCAGGAAAUGUGUAUACCGACGUCGAUUGAAGGUAGUCUCUACACCCUCAAAUUGAAACAUACCAUGUUUAGAUCGAUUAGUAAGAAAAAAAAAUUGUUUGAAAUAUGAUUUGAAAGUACUCAAAAUAAUUUUUCAAGAGAAGACAUCAAACCAAAUACACCCCAUAAUGAAUUUGUUACUUAGCUAGACUGCAUGUUUUAAAGUUUAAAUACUUAUUAGAGCACAUUGAAUUAACUAAUUAAAAGACGAGAAGGAGUUUUGAGUAUGUUUGUUUAUAAAUUUGAAUAAUUUCUGAAAUCUAAAAUCGGAAUAAUUAUGAAAAGAGAGGGGUUAUAUUUGAAAUACCUCUCAUGGUUACCAAUGGCAGUCAUGUAAGGAAGACGAGAAGCAAUGGGAUUAAUAAGAUGAAGAAAGAAAUCCCAUUCAACUAAGAAACCAGUCGCAUAACUUAUAUCUCCAAUAUGAAACACUCCAUCUAUUUCCCCUCUUUCUACUUCCUCUUUCAUUGCUUCCACCACUGAGAUCGACCCUGGCUGUUCAUUUCCCCAAAAUAUAUAUACCAUUAAGCCCUAAUCCAUCAAUGCUAAUUUCAAAAAUAUAUGCAGAUCGAUAGUACCUGAAUGUAAUGCUCAGCUGAAGAAGAAUCAAGAGGAGCCUUUCCCAUAUCACCAAAUGCAAUAAAGCUAAAAUCAGUUUCAUCUCCGGCCGCCGGUGGUGUUCUAAAUGUUGUUUCCUCACUCCAACCAACUUUCUCACUACACACAUACACACACAACCUCUUUUGUUUUUCCAUUUUGAAUUGGGUUUAGGGUUUAAAAUAGGAACAAUACAUAUACCUUCCAUAUUUGUAGGAAUAGGUUGUAGAAGGCUUAAGUUGAGUCAUUAUUGCUGUAUGAAUGAAGCCAGGAUCAUGCCAUCCAAAAUCCUUCGCUGGACUUUGAAGAAAUGAUGCAUCUAUAUCAUACACACCCAUAUAUAUUAUCAACAAAGUUUAAUAUAUGUCAAUGUCCACAAUAAUAUCAAAUUAUCGAUUCACCCAUUACAUCAAUGUCGAACUCAUAGAAAUUAGACAUGGAAAUAUCAAUAAAAGUAUCAACAUGCGUUGAUUGCAUUUUUUGUGAACACUCCAUAACGCCUUCAUCACUCUCACUUCAUUAAGGUAAAAAAAACUACUACAGAAAGUCAAGAGAGGGCUAGAGAUAAAUCUAAUGAUAAAGUUAUAGAAAGGCAGCCCAAUAAUUAGGGAAAAGAUUCUAAUUAUUACAAAAGCAUUGAUUACAAUUUGACACUAUGAUCAAACAUUAUAAUCUCUUCUAGUUGGUAUGGGACAAGUCAAGAACUUUUCUUUGUACAC
rnacentral:lncRNA from 1 species